rnacentral:lncRNA from 1 species
GUGGGAUUUUGAUCAGUGGCUGCCAAACUGACCAAACUUCUGCUGAUGCCAGCCCAGGAGGAAAUUCAGCCGAGGCAUAUGGAGCUCUUAGCAAUGCCAUUCAGACUAUACUUGGGGAGGCGGAUGGUGACAUUUCUAAUCAGGAGCUUGUUUUGAGGGCCAGGAAGAUUCUGAAGAAGCAGGGUUUCACUCAGCGACCUGGCCUCUACUGCGGCGACCAUCAUGUUGAAGCUCCAUUUGUGUGCUGACCUGAAUGGUUUCUCCAGUGCUAAGAGAUAAAUAAAUUUUAUGUGCGUGUGCCUGUGCGUGUUUUUUGAGUGGACUGUGCUGGUUUUUAUUGUGCUGGUUUUAUUGUGCUUUCCGUCUGAACUAGAAAACCUUGGACCAAAAAUGGUAAUAUUCAAGUUUUAUGGCGCCUGAACCUUGAUGCAGGCUAGUACAAUUCACAUAGACCAUGCUGCCGAGUUAACCCUUUCUUUUCCUAACAUGUUAUCCAAAAUGACCCUUAUUUUAAUCAACGGCAGUAAAAAUGAAUUUAGGUGAGAAGUCUUACAUUAAACUUUGAAAAGAGAAAUCAAGCAAAUCAAAUUAAAAGAUAAAAAUUGAUGCAUUGGUGCGUGCACAAACAUCACAGGUAUGUUUUGGUAAAAUCGAUUGAACGUAUAACAUGCUUAGAAUGUAGUUACAGGUUGACCUUAAGAGAUAAAAAGAUCAAAAUUAAGCUCUUGCCUGUGCUUUGCGGAUGGAGAAGAGGAACCCACCACAUCACGGCCGCACUCGCCUGAAGAUGAUCCCCUUCUAAUUUAUCCAGACAUCCUGCUUUCCAUAAUAACUAAUUAAUGGGGGCUUUUAAUUUAACUUGCACCGCAAGGAGCCCCUCACAUCCAACGAUGCCGGAAAUUCAUAUCCUGAUUUGUGUCCCUCUAUUCAUUAAACACAACACUGGUGCUAAAACCUAUCCAGCCCAGUUAGUAACAGAAGGUAGUUCAAUUAGAAAAUGUUAUCGCUGUGCUCCUCGGAACGAUGUUGGCAAUCCAAUUAGAAGCGGCAUAAUUGAGGAUAAUAUCAACAUGAACACAGGAGGAGUUCUUUAUCAGCAAUAGAAUGAUGAUUAUAUAGAGAUUUAUACAAAUUAGUUGGAGUAAAACUACGACUCGUACAACCUGGAACCUAUAACUUACUGCCUUCUGCGAUACUGUAAGAGAUAUACAAAAUUAUGAGCCAAAAAAUGGAGCAAAAAAGCAAAAGACAAAAAAUCAGUAUGAAUGAGCCUGCACAAUUUCCUUGCAUGGUGCAGGGAAUGACUUUCUAAUUUUUUCACUAUGAGGUUUAUGCUUGUAUCUUCAGACUUGAAUCACAUUCUCAAGUCUCCAAAGCAACAUUCUAACUUUCUGUAUUGCUCACACGCUCCUUGGAACAAAAGACCGCACCAUCUCAAUCAUCAAUAUCUUGGACCCAUGCUAAAUCUGCGACCAAGACGGCAUCACACUAGAAUUAGAUCAAUGUAAAUUACAAUAAAACAGAUUUAUAUCCAAACUUAUUCGCGCAAGAGCGCGCAUAGAGAGAGAGAGAGGAAGAGGUGAGGCAGGUAAUUAUAGCAAGCUUCGAUAACAAAACUCGUGCAUGUGUGAGUAAAGGCAGGAUAAGACUAUGCAUGUGAGAGAAGGUAGGGAGAUAGAGAGACCUUGAAGUACAGAUUCCACAGCUGCAUUUGGGACAAGGAGCCCAACAAUUCGCUUGUUAUCUGUGGUAGUUUCUAAACGCACAACACGGAGUCGCUUUUGGCUUUGACGAGCCUGAAGAGAAUAUUACUUGAGGUUUCAAUUUAUCUCAAUGGCAAUUACAUCAGAUUGAUAGUUCAUUCCAUGAGCUGAUUCUUUAAUAAAACAUUUCUUUGCUGCAAGUAUUAAUGGCAGUGACAUGCUUUGAACACUUUAUAAAAACACCCCUUUGUAUUAACAGGCAAUGCUAAAAGGAAACAAACUGAAUGUUUGGUUUCUUCUUGUGGAAUACAAUCAGGGACAAGGUAAGAAAAUCCUGACAAUAAAUGAUUUGGUCGAAGUCCCAUAAAAACAAAUCAAUUCUCAUAAAUUCUCCAUUUUAUUUUAAAAAGAAAAUUUUAAGCACAAGGCAGUAAUAUAAAGAGCAUGACCAUGCAUGGAAAUCACAGCACACUUCAGUGUCUUUGUUCAUGGUUCCUUCCACUUGAUAUUCUAGAACUUGUGUCACCAAUGCGAUACAUUGCUCAGUCGAGUCAGCAUGCAUAUAUUUCUAAUACCUAAAAAAGAUCCACUCCAUAACCAACAGCUGCUUUUCAUAGUUAUCCAAAAAACAAAGGAAGAAGGAAGAAAACUGACCCAAGCUAGGAAUCAAUUAAGAAAUUAACCUAUCUCUCCACCUCAUUCCUCAUGUAUAUCUCUACUCCAGACAAGUAGAUCAGACUUAAUAGAGCAUUUUCCAAAUUAUUGAUCAAACCUAGAUCCAUCAAGAGAGCACCUAACUCGAACAUAAGCAAUUUUGGCACUACAUAAUAAACGACCCUCUUGCAAAUUCAAAAGUGUUGCCCACAGAAAGAAACUCAUGGAAUAAAAUAGCAACUGCAUAACUAGUAGAAUGCAGUAAAAAAAUUAAGAUUUCAGUGAAAGUGCCACAAAGUCAAAAAUCUCGAAGAGGAUCAAUAUAUGUAAAACUGACACAAAACUGACACUCCUGGCUCAAGCGUGGUCUAUAGCAGAAAGGACAAAACUGAAAAAUGAGCAGGGUAGCAUUUACUAAACAUCAUGUUCAUGGGAAUUAGAAAUCAUUAAGAAGCCCUGCAUUACCUGCUUAGAAAGGGCUUUCUCGAUAGUGCCCCAAACAGGAAGAAUAAGACCACCCAAAACAUUUACUUCCUGCUGUCUUCUACCAACUGUACAAAAGUUUCCAAGCUUACAGUUGGGGCCAUGCAUGCACUGCAGGAAAAAUUAACAGUAAGCUAAGGUAAGAACCGCAGGGUAACUGAAGAAUUAGAAAAAAUUUAUGCACCAAGUGUACAUGGAGGAAAUAGUCAGUUCAAGAAGAAAAUUAUUUAGAUUCCAGAUUGAUCAAUACGAUUAUGAAUGCAUCACAGCAAAAGUGGGAUUCAAGAAGUCACGCAGUAUCAAGACAUGCACAUUUCACUUAGGCAUGAUUUUGUUUGACUACAUUACAAGGGGACAGUGGGAUGCUAUCAGCAAGGAGUAUCAAUAACAUUAAUCAAUCAAAGCUAAAAUAUUCCACCAAAUUCUCUCCAAGUCACUUCCCUUCAAACAGGAAAGUUUGCAAGGAAGAUAUCAAUUUGAAUAUUCACACAAGACUUGUCUCCAACUGCUGAAACGGAAGUUGGAAGGUCGAAGCUGGCAUCCAAUUCAUUAACAAUUUGAACACACAAGAUGAAGAGAAAUCCACAUCAAAGAACAAAACUCAUCUUUCCAUGUCCUAAAAUGGUUGUUCACAAAGAAAAGUCAACAUAAAAUGCAAUUAAUUUUCAUCACCGGUCAAUCUAUCAUGUUAGCAUUGCAGUUAUGCUAUAUUUGAUAUUGCAAAAUACCAAUGCUAACAGCAUUUAUCAUCUGAACAUAUAUUCAACACCUUUUUGUACCUGUUUAGAUGAAACUUCAUAUUCAUCUUCCCAGCCACUACGAGCUUUCUCUAACGACAGCAGUUUUCUAUAUUUGUUUUUCAACUCUGCCAGAGGCAUUUCCCUGGAGAAAGAAAGAAGAGGUUAGUGAACACAAUAGAUUCAAUAUAAGCUUUGACUAAGCCUGGUGAUAUUUGAUACCUUACCGACUCCCCAACAGCAGGUCUGACAAUCUUAAACAUUCCAGAAGCAGAGCUGAAGCAAUGAAAUAAAAAAGACACUGAAAGGAUGAAUACAAGAACAAUAAAAUAGCAAAGCACCUAAUAUUAAUAGCAGCAGAAGUUUCUAAAACACUUGUAUCCUAGCAUUGUGAAAUGGAGAUCAGAGAAGUUGAUAUUCAUUUUGUGGCAGAAUUACCACUAUUGACUUGUAUUAAUGCCUCUAGUCAACAAAAUAGCAGCAGAAGUUUCUAAAACACAUGUAUCCUAGCACUGUGAAAUGGAGAUCAGAGAAGUUGGUAUUCAUUUUGUGGCAAAAUUACCACUAUGGACUUGUAUUAAUGCCUCCAGUCAAAUCCUUCAUUUACAUUUCUCACCUCUUUUCCUAUCUUUUUUACAGUGAAGAAAUCUGGCAGCUAAAUUGGAAAUACUUCAUUGAAAAUCAGUUCCUCUCCAAGCUACAGUGGUCAAACAUCCAGAAACUCAGGCUAGAGUUGAUUUCCUUAAACCUCAGUGGACUACUGGACUUUUGAUUCUCUUGCCCUCUUUGGCUUCAUACUUUCUUUAAUCAAAGAGUAAUAUUUUCAAGGGGAAUCAACUGGUUUGUGUCAUAAAAAUUUACGAUUCACAUAAUAAAAACUUUACAAUUCACAAAUAAUAAACAUAGAGGUGCAGUCAAAUCUAGCAAUACCUUUCAAAUGCUAAAAUAAAGUGACGUCUUCCUAACCACUCCCUCUUAGAUUCAUAGAAUCCAUCAUUCAAAGAACUGAGCCCAUCCUUUUGCUUCUCCUCGAGCAUGGUACUUGCAGACUAGCAUUAAUGAACAUUUACAAAUUUUACAGUUAUUUAUCAAGCUGUAAUCUAGCAUUCACCAUUCAGAGUUAAAACAUGCAUGCAUGAAGAAAACAGAAGAAAGAAGAAAAACACCUCCCAUGUGAUUCCACGGUCCAGAGUAAAAGUAAACAGAACAGUUGAUGCCCCAGACAUUUGAUCAACGUGGACAGUCUGUAAGAUAAAAGUCAACAUCACUGAUUGAGUAAAGCCAGUAAAGGAACAACAAGAAACCAUACCUUGGGAGUUCCUUGUAAUUCAAUAAUGUUCGCUUUCAUAUCAACAAUCCCAGAAUCAAGAUUCCCUUCAAUGCGUGCAUUCUGAACAAGAAGAUCUAGGAUACUGACGAACAAAUCAAACAGCCUGCAGUGAAAAGCCGUUUAGUGGAUUAAAUUUAUUUCUGACUGCAACUAGCAAUCAUUUCUCAAUCAACAAAAUAGAAACCUAUUUUGAAUAUCAGGUGGCAGUCCUAAGAUCCGAUUGAGGAAACGCCCAACAUCAUGCAUGUCUGAAUCAAUUAUACGUCCAGACAACUUUCCAUAGUCUUUCCCAUUGCCUAUAUAAAAUGUGGGAAUUUAGAGUUAUAAUUGUUACAAAAAAAAAUAAUGAUUAAAGAUGAUAAAACAGUAAAAAUGAUGGCAUAAUAACGAAAAUAAAAUUAGUGAAAGUAUAUUCUGACAGUUCAAUUCAAGAAAAAGUAGUGAAAUGGGAAUGCACAAGAAAAAAAAUACCAAGAACAGAGUCUCUAACUAUUCCAACAGACACAAGAGCAGCUUUUGCCUUCAUUAUAAAGUCUUGAACUGUCUCUGGCUUUUCAGAUGAACAUCCAGGAGGUACAACUGGCAGAGUAUCCUGAAAAUUGAAUUUUAGUUAUUCCCAACAAUACCUGGCACUCAAUUUUUCCACUAUAAAUCUAGCAUGAAGAAUACUAAAAUAUUAUCAAGAAAAAGGAGAUGAACACCUGCUCCAUAAUCCCUCUAUACAUCACCGUCAAAGCCUUUUUCCCAUAUGCACUAUCAUAAUUGUAAGCACUCAAUGAAGGCCCUGCCCUGCAAAGCAUUUACACAUAGUGAGACAUACAAUCAAGCAAAAGACAUCAAUGAUAACUGCUAUUGUUCCCCAGAGGAUAAAAUAUCCAAGUUACCUGCGGUCGCCUUGUGUUAAAGCCCCAAGAGAUUCCAAUCUCUUGGCGACAAUAGAUGCAAAGCGGCGUUCUCCACCAAGAUUAGUAAAUAAUAGCCUGCCAAAGGAGAGAGAGAGAGAGAUAGAGGUAUGUUUUUGGCCCAACAAUUUAUGACGUUGACUUUACGCUUUGCAACUAUUAAGCAUCUAUAUGUUAACUCUACUACUUUCAAACAAAACUGAAGACAACAGUUUUAUUAUUCUGGUAACAAACAUCAGCAAUGACCAAAAACGCAUGAUCAGAUCAAAUAACCAUGGUUUCAGAAACUGUAGCUUAACCCUAUCCAAAGAAAUCUUAAUUUUUACCCAUCCAUUGUGUAAAAUAACAAUCUUUCUCAACCCCAUCUUUGUUUUGGUAGCACGUUCAACCUCAACCAUUUGCCUCACUAGCAACUUCUAUCUUCUGCCAUCUGAUAUGACCUCUAACUUGCUAUACACACACACAAUUCCAUAAUUUCCUUCAAGAACUUUGUUUAAUAUAAUCAUAAUGCCAUGGAUAAUUUUGUGUGCAUUGUCAAGCACUAUACUACAUCAAGUCUCCCAGCUUCAUGCUCACCAUUUAGUCAUGUAUGUAUGAAAAGGGAAUCACCUCAAGUAGCUCAGAAGAAGGCUUCUCCAGUUGUUAUUGAGACAAGUUAGCAGACCUUAUAAGCACUUACUACCUCACCUACCUAAUUUGAAGUUCAUGUCAACCCUCCUCCCUGUGCUUGGAUUAUUUUAUCAACUGAAACUAACCUAAGCCCACACCCAAAGAUCCCCAAGUCCCCAACUACUAUUUUAACAUUUAUAAAAUUAAGAACAAUAUGCUUUUUUAAAUCAUUCACUCUUGAAGAGCCAAAUGGCUAGCAGACAUGACAGCUAUAAAAAAGUGGGGGGAGUAAGCUUAGGAAUUUUACAUUUAAUAUAAAACAAAAUAAAGUAAAAUAUUAAUUCAAAAAGUUGAAUAUUUAAUAUGACACUUGUAUACUGAUGCAAUGAGAAAAUCAAAUAGAUGAAAGAGAAUUAAACAUGCAUGGCCCAGCCUACCUAUAUAUGGGCGCAGAAGCUUGAUUUGAUCGGUGUGUUCUUCCAAACUGUUGAAUUGCUCGGUCAGCACUCCAAGGAAGUUCUAGAGUUAAAUGAACCCUUCUUUUCUGUUGGUAGAAAUGUCAGAUAGCACUUAAUGAGACAAUUACUUACAAAUUGUGCAAAUUACAAAAGCAGAACAAGGCAGAAAUAAAUUUUUUUUCUGUGGAUAGAAAUGUUGGCACCUAAUUGGAAGUGAGACAACUUUAAAAAAUGUACAAAUUAUACAAAGCAGAACCAUGCAGAAAUGAGACGAAGAUGUCAAAGAAUCAUGCAAAACAAAUCAACUUUAGAGAUUUUCAAAGAGCAAUACCAAGCAAACAAAAAAAAUUCAGAGCAUUGGGCACACCUGAUUUUUUGCUCUUCUGUCUGCCUGUAAAGACACACCAGCUGAUCCCGCUUCAGAAAUGAUAGCAGCCAAUUUCUUACCAUCCAUGAAAAGCUGCUUCUCAUGCAUGUUGACCAUUUCCAUGGUGACAUCCUUUCUGAAGUAAAAAAAAACAGAAGCAAAAACAGUCAUGUGGAAUGAAAUCAAACAAUCAGUGAAAGGGGAAACGCACAGCAACUUACGAGUUUCGUUGCAGAUAAGUUACACCUUUUCCACUGGUGGCCCUUACAAGCAUGCCUCUCCUCCCAGUCAUUUCAGAAAUUUUAUCAGGGCCUCCAAGCUGCAAAUAUUAAAUGCUCGGUCAACAAGGGUUUCUUUAUUUCCAAAGGAAGAGAAUAUUAUUAGAUCAAAGUGAAAAGAAGAUUACAACAUGCAGAAUAAGACCAUCCAUGACAGAGUAAAAGAACCAGAAAAAAAAGAGCUUCCUAACAGAUUUACAUAUCAACCCGGGUUAUGGAAAAGCUUACUGAGUUAUGUGAAGUUAUUUGAAAAUAUCUGUGACCCUAUAACAUUCCACAGGUAACUGUAAACAUAACACUUAUAAAAACACACUUCCUUUUAUCUCCAGAAGGGAAAAAACAAAAAUAACAGACAGGAGAAGAAAACCAUGAACUUGAGACUACAUAGCUAAGGUAACAUUUGAUAUUGAAGUUUGCAAGGACUAUAACACAAUUUCACUGCAUUGUGACUCAGCAACGCAGCAAAAAUCAGUGCCCAUUUAGUAAUGCUAUAUAAAUAAAAAUACACUGGAAGAGUUUGUUGUCACUCUCCAUGGCCCCAGAGCCCAGUGAAAGGGGAAAUUUUGGUUAUAAAAGCAAAACAUUCUUACAAAUUAAAACUUUUACAGGAUUUGAUAACUUGUCAGGAAAACAAGUGUUAGCUAUAAAAAAAAAUUACAAAAUGUUGAAUGUGGGUAACUGCUUGUCAGUAAUGUAUGCAGAUCUAGGCUUACAUACAGCACACCAUAAAUAUACAUACAAGUAUGCGUGUGCGCGUGUAUUAGAGAGAGAGGAAAGUCAGAAUGUGGUCACUACCUGAUCAAUAAUAUCAUCCAAAGGAUUGUUUGGAAGAUCCAAGGAUCGAAUUAUCUCCAAAAUUUUUGAUUUGCGUUCCAAAGCUGUUUCAUACCUAAUAUCAAGUUCGUAAAUUAUAUAAUGAUGCUUUUUAACAAUUGGUGAUUUAGAAACACCAUAACCAUCAGCAGCCCACCAUGACCACCAGCAGCCCAGAUGAGAAAAGUAAUCGUAGAAGGAAUAAAAUUACUAAGAAACAGGAAAAACUAAUUAGCUUCCACAAGAUAGGCUACCUCUUUGUAAGUUCAACAAGAUAGGCAUGCUGUUGUUGAAGAAAUUCUUCUGUUUUUUCCUUGCACGAAUGACAUGACCAGUCUUCAGAUACUACAUCUGUAACAGGUGGCACUAAACAUGAAGGAUGGACCAGUUGUCCACAACAAGAACAUUGAAGCAAUUUCUUCCUUCCCUGCGGUUAAAAUUUUAUAAAUAAUAGCACCUUACUGAUAUCAAAACCACAAAAAAAAAUCAGAAACUACCUCUUCUGAAUUGCAUAUCUCGCAGAUCUGAAACUCAUCAUCAGAUCCAUUGGAUUCACCUCCAGAAUCAGCUGCAUUGGCGAAAAAAAAAUUAGGAAGGGGGGGGGGAGCAAUUUCAGAGUUUGCAUCAUAGCAUACAAGAGAAAAUGCCUCCAAACUUAAGCAGUAAAGCCCCAUAUUGCUAAGGAAAAAAAUGGCAUAAAUAAAUUUGGCAGGUGAGUUUACUAAUUAAGGAAAAGGUAAUGCACUCAACAAGGACACAAGGAAGUUCACAUGAAAAGACAACACAUAAGAAUAAAACCAUAUAAGAGCAUUAAAAGGUUCAGACACUAGAUUUCUUUUCUCUCUCUUUUCUUCAACAAAUGAAGAUCAGUCAUGUACCAAGAAUGCAAGCAAGAAGCAUCAUUUUGCAAGCCCAUGAUAUAACAAAAGAGAGAAUCACGUUUGGUCCAUGGUUAACUGCAAUAAAUCAAUUAAUGUCAGACUUCAGAAAACUUACUUCCAAACCCUUCAUCAAAGUCAUCAUCACUCUCAGGUUUCCAUCUUGCAGCUUUUCUGACUCUCCCUUUAGAUGAAACACCAGGUGUUGCAGAGUGCCUCUUCCGUUGAAGUUCCUUUACACCUUCCUCUCCUACAUGAAGCAAGAAAGCAAACUCCAUAAUCCAUAUAAGCCGUAAUGCAUAAGGUUCAAUUAACACAAAUCAUAACCACAUAAUUACCUUGUUGCUCUGGUUUUUCAGGCAGAGGAUAAUUUUCUUCCACAAAUUUCAGCAGCAACUCUCGAGGACCAGAAAUAAAAUCAUCAAGUUCAGAACCCUGCUCAAGAAAGUACAAAUGGCAUUCAAAUAAGAAACUAAAUGAUGCCAAUUGGAAGAAUCACAUGGAAAUGCGUGCACCACAUCAAUGAAUAAAUGACAUGCGUACGUAUUUUGAAACAGCUUCCUCAGUUCGAGCCUCCCCAGUACUCUGUAGGCCAAUAACAACACACUUUUCUUCAGUCAAUGCUUGCUUAGCUAUUCUUACAGCAGCAGGCACCUUAGCUGACAUGCACAUGUGUCUAAAGAAGCGCUGCCACAAAAUGAAUGGAUGAAAAAAUGAAUUAGAAUAACUUGUCAAACAAUAAAUAAGCAUUUUACAAAAAGAGGAUCAAUGAAAAACAUUUAAACCACAAGGGGAGGCCAAACCUGAUGGCUUGACCAAUAUACUCUCCACAAUUGACUAGAGUUAGGUUUGUCAUUGGUGAGAAAGGUGCUUGCUGAAAGCAACUCCACUCGUAACUCUGCCCAAAAUUCUGCUGCUUUUUUGUACAUGUCCUAAGCAAUUCAGAAUCCAAUAUGAGAAAACUCGAGGGAUUAUUUAUCAAAAAAAGAAAAGAGAAAAAUCAAGAGAUUCAGGGAAACUACAGGUGCAAAAAAAACAGGGAAAAGGCAAUGCUUUAUUGGGUGUUGAUAGUCCCCACCUAGGAGAUUCUGAAUCCAGUUAGUAGGGAUCAGUGGAAAAACUAAAGCUCCUAUAAACUAAAGGAAUGGAUGAGUGACAAGAAAGGAACAUUCAAACACCACAUUCAAGAUGAGGUCCGAAACUUCGAACGAGGAGUUCUCAUCCUUCCCCACAAGUGAGAAGUCAACAAUGAUACAUAGGAAAGUAAUUUGCUAAAAAUUCCCACUUUUAGUGGACAGCUAUUUCAAAUCAAUUGAUAUUAACAAACAGAUAUUUUCCAUAAUGCUACAGAAACCUCGCCCAAAAAUUUGACAAGGCACUUAAAGGACAGAGGCCCUGUUAAUAAAUCCUAAUGGUAGUGUCAUUCUACAUUCUUAGCGCAUUAAAUUGGUGGGUUCAACACAUUCUUGGCCACAUGGAGUAUGGGGACAAUCAGCUAGGAAAAAAGAACAAAGACCAGAACCAGGCAGGUAAAUAAGUAAAAUAGCAGGGCAUUUUGCAGGGUUACAAAUCUAAGGUUGUUCUGUCCAGAAAUGAGAUUGACUGGCCUAAACAUGGUUACCUAAAUAUAACCUCUCUUUACCUUCCUCGCUACUUGGUUUGUUGAGAGCAUAAAAUUGACCACAAAAAAAGUAUAUGCUAAAAUGAUUUGCUGACGGUGUCUAAGCUAUCAGCAUAUUUAAGAAUAAAAAAACAAAAUUGAAUAAGUAACAAGCAAUGUCGAACUGCCCUGAUAUUUAAAACAUCUUGCGGAGCAAUGUGAAAGGAAAACAUCCAGCAGAACUUGGUCUGGGGCAUCAGACCAAUUUCAAAAUUCAUGGCAAGCAAACAACAUCAGCUUGCUCAAAACAAUAUAUUUGGCAUGGAAACACCAUACAAAGUGCUUUUAUUUGGACAUGUUACAGGGGUUAGAAACCAGCACAGCUCUGUGGUUAAGUGAAUACCAGGAAGUAAAGUAUAAAAAAAGGUCAAAAUCAUAAUCAUAGCUCAUAUAGAUCCUUGGAAGGCAGUAACAAUUUCGACCAUCAAUUCCUAUGUCUCAUACUGGAAAGCCAAUUGAUGCUUCUUACCAUCAUCUCAGGUUCUAAGGGCGCUUCAACAAUUUCAAACUCUGCCCCUUUAUAGCUAAGGGUACGACAUACAUACAUUCCCCUGAAAAUCAAAAGUUGAUGACAAAUUAUAUAAUAAAUUCCUAAAAAUAAAUCUAGUUUACAAAAUCAUUUCAACCAUAACAACCUUGCUUUCAUGUCCAUGGCAACAAGUUCCAAUGCUCCAACACCACCUUUUUCAAGAACACCUGCAAAACUAUUAUUUAGCUAACUUUGAAUGGUGAACAUCGUAUUUAACUAGCGACAUAGAAGCAGCAAAAACAAGUCAUAGAGAAAAUGCCCAUAGUGGAGAUUUAUGGAAGCUUAACACACAAACACACAGAAGAGUUCCAGAACAACAAGCAAUGAGCAUAUAAUAUCAAGUGAAUCAAUCAGCAGCAGCCUGCAGAUUCCAAAAUUUAUGGUUAUAUCAUCUGGUAAUUUCAAUAAUACGUUUCUUGAUAACUAAAUGCAAAUAUCUCAGUGUGUUCUAAUUAUUUGCUCUUCUUCUAAGUUCUUAAUUAUCAUUAUAAUAUGUAGUUUCUUGACACAGCCUAGCAUCUAAGAUAUAAAAACUUUCUUUGAUGGUCACCUCCAGAGUCGUCCCAACACAAAUAUAUCAAAACACAAAUAACUCAAGAUAUGACAAAUAUUAGUUUCUCUUUACUAUGUAAUCUUAUGGAAGAAGUUAGAUCUUUCUUCAUUCUUUUUCAUUAUAUCCAGUGGUCUUCUAGAAAUUGCACCUGUUAUAUACCUAGGGAAUUAUGAUGAUUGUUUCAGAUAUCGUACACUCUUUUUCUCAGGAGCUUUUUGUGGCUUAAGUUCAAUAUAUUAUUAGUGCAUUUUGUCCAAGAUUAAUUCAAUACUAGACAAAUUAUAACUCCUUUAAUUGAGUCUCUAUCUCCCUAGAUUAAUAAUUAUGAUUGAGCAACUAUAGGAUUAAAAGGAACGAGUACUGCUGCUUAUGCACAAAGCAUAUUGCUUUGUUGCCAGAAACCCUCCCUACUGAAAGGCAAUCCUCUAAACCUCACCUUGACAUGUAGAGAAGCGCACAAGCAUUUCAAUUAUACAGCCUUCACAAUUGACAGUUAAACAGAUGAAUUUAUGUCUGCAUGGGCACAUUUAUGAAAGCGAGAGAGGAGGGAAGGAGUUCAGCAACUAACUCAUGCCUUCCAAAUAGGAUCUUGAAACACAUGCAUACAAACUUUUCAACAAAGUAAACAACAGCAGAUUCAAUUAUCCAAUAGAGAAGGAAAAAAAUAUUAAUAUGAUUUAUGAAUAAUGUUCCUAUAGCAUUUAGCAUUACAAAACUAAACCUUUUGGUGGGAGAUCAAUUGGGCCUCUACCAUUUAUGUACUCAACUAUACUAUUCUACUGCUUCCAACUAAAACCAGUUUUGUUUUGUAAUUGAAAUUCUUCUAACUCAAGCAUCAUCUUACCAAAGCUGAACAAAAGAAAAAAUGUGGCACAGACAAUAUGAAUACAGAAAUGCUAGAGGAACAUAGAGAGGGGAGCUAGUAAAAAAAUGCAUGAACUUAUCACACCUAGAAACUUCUGGAAAACAUCAAAACAUGUUCCAUCUCCCCAAAGACCAAGCCUGACCAUAUAACCCAUAUUUCGGGGCUCAGAUGCACCGGUCGCUGAGCAAUAGAUAACACGUGCUCCAGGAAGUCGGGCCUGUUAUAUUGGAACAUGAAAAUUGAAAGUUAAGAUCUCAGGGAAACCUGGUUUAAUCAUCCAAAGCCACUUUGCAAUAACAAAUGGCAUAGCUAACCCAUGAUCAUUACUCCAAAAUAUUUAAAAAAAACAGAAGCAUCAACGAAACUUGUGAAUGUUUGUGUGAUAUGGCAUAGCAAGUGUGACCAUAGGUGUGUCCAUGCACAUCCACCACCAUGAUUUCCUGAGCAUGUCAGCUUUUUCGUGUGUGCACAUGCACAUGAGAAUAGAAGCAUAGAAGAAAUAAAUAGAAAUGCAUUGCAUGCAAUCCAACAAAAGAAAUCAUCAAAACUGAAAAGGACCCUUGGAGGCUUAACACAAUUAGCAAGUGGUUUUUCUCCCCACAUUAUCCUCUAGCAUUUGAAUCCUAGGAGAGAGCAUAAGAAAAUAAUUCUUAUGAAUUCACCAGUCUAAGUGUGGAUGGCCACCGUAAGCCCCAACUAAGGAGGGAUCAGAAGAAGAAGCCUUUCUUCCAUCCCCACUUAAUAGUUCCCAUUAUACGUUCAUAAACAGAAACCAAAAGUUCUUUUAAAAAUAGGAGUGAUACACACUUGGCAACUGCAAACUUAUGCCAUGAGUUCUUGGAAUAAUAAUUUCCAUAACACACCAUCUUCCAUGGUCAUGUCAUAACCAUAAAUGUUUCCUGUGUACAUUUGUCCUUUUCACAUAUAGGAAAUUUAAUAGCUUAAAUCACUAUAAUAAUUUAAUGGAAGUGAAACCUGUAAGAAGAAACCUCUAAAUUUUUUAUAAAAAAAUAUCUUAAAUACCACCAGAAAGGUAUUCACAUGAUUAGAUUACAGAGAAAAAUGAUGAUACCUACAUUGUACAGACAUAUAUGAGCAAAUCUCAAACACCUAGUAAAAAGGAAGUGCAGAACAGGCAAGGAAAAAAUCUUCUCUGGCUCAGUUUCAAGGACAAACCUGAAUAUCAAGAACUGCUUCACCUGUCCGUGUGGGUUGACUUCCAGCUUCAGGUAUCAAAUUUUUUGCUUUGUGGCACUACAAUAAAGUCAUUGAUCCUUAGCAAUGAAAAUUAUAAGGAUGUAUUGAAACACAGCACUCAAUGAGUCAGUCAAAUAACAAAAACUUUGCAAGGUCUGACUGUCAAAGCGACAAACAUAAGACAAACUUCCAAAAGAAGUAUACUACCUCAUCAAAUAUUAGAAGACCAUCAAAUCCUGAUCCACACCACUGCACAAGCUGCUGCAGACGAGAACGACCUUUUUCAGAAGAUGCAAUGAGGCUACUGUAUGUCAAAAAUACAACACCCUCUCGGACCCCAACAGACUUCGAAUCAAGCUUAGAAUAGGGCAGCUUGUUCAAAGCAUGUACUGCAUGGAGAAAUAAGAAGUAUUAUGUUGGUUUUUCCAUUUAUGGAUUACAAGAUAAUAACAGCAGAUUGUAUUUAAAAAUCUCAAAUUUGCAGCCAAAAGCCAAGUAUAAGCAAAUGAUAUUUUGUCACAGAAGAGUUUAUCAUCAGCUCUCAAGUUUGGGUUUCAGUUUUAAGUGAUUCUGUAUCCUCUGCCACUUCUUUAUCAAACUACUUCCACACAUCCUAACACCCCAACUAGCUCAACCAUGCCAACAGAUUACCAAAAUCACUAGAAUUAAACUUCUUACUUCCAACAAAGGUAGUUAACAUCAAAAAAAGCAACCUUUUAGCAUUUAAAACAGCCAUGUCAAUAUAAUAUGAUUCUACCCAGCUUUAGUAUACUUUAUUGAUAUAAUUCUCUCCAAUGGUCUUUGGAGGGGUCUAAAAUUAAAAAAGAAUUUCAUGCCAUCUCUCCCAAAAUGAACACAUUAGUUUUUCUUUUAUAUCAUAUCUGGAAAGCUAACUUCCCAACAAAGUUAAUGCUUUCAUCUGGACUGUUUCUCAAGGUGAUAAUGAUGAAUUGUUACAGAUUAGAGGACCUCACAAGACCUUAUCUCCUGAUAUUGGCGUAAUGGGUCACCAAGUCUCACAGUUAUUUGUUUUACAUUGUCCAGUGGUUUGGGAAAUGUGAAAAAUAUCAAUGGCUUGUGGUGGUGAGCCUUGGGGUAUCCCAAAAGGGUGGAAGAUUUUCUGCAGGUUUCCUUUAUGGGUUUUGGGCGAAGGUAUGUUUAUGGAAUUUGUACAAUGAAUGCAGUCUUUCAGAGGAUUUGGCUGGAGAGAAAUGCAAGAAUUUUCAGGAAUCAACUUAUCAUCUUACUUCCACUAAUUUGUUAUGGGAUAGAAUACUUUUCUUUGCAUCCUUAUGGUGUGUCAUGCUUCUAGCACGUUUAGGGGAAGUAUCAUUAAUUGACACUCAACUGAGAUUUGGCUGCUUUAGUUUUGUAAUCUUUUGCUUUGUUUGUUUGCUGCACCUUAAUUUGGACAUUGUCUUAUCCUCCAUUUUGUGAUUGUACUUCUACUCUUUUCAACAUUUACACAGUUUCUUUUAUAUUAAAAAAAAUUCACUAAAAACAGAACUUCUAUAUUCCAUUUUUUGAACCUUGUUAAAGAAGAAAGUUAAAAUCAUUGCCCGAGUAUAUUCACACUAUGAUAGUUUAUAAUUUGCAGCGGUAAUCUAUCUAUUGCAAGUCACUGGGAAACAAUUGAGCAACAAAAAAGUACUUGGUUCAUAUUUAUAAUUUUUCUGUCUCCUGUAUAUAAUUUAGCUUUUCCUAGUAUUUCAAACCAGAUUUUCUAAGAAUCAAAUGAUCUCAUUGCAAUUUAAAAUGGCAUAAACAUCCAAAGCAAUCACCAGUAACACUUGAAACAGAACCAUAGUCCACACAUUACAACAAAAUUAGGGAGAACUUUCAUCAUCAAAACUUAAAGAGAAUGCAAUUAAUCAAAAAUCUUAACUGUUACAAGGAUUCACUACUAAGAGAAACUUCUCUAUCUACUUUACCAUGCUUUUACAGAUAGAAUAAAACAUUUGCAUACAUGUAAAUGCUGUACAAUGAGAUGAUCACUACUCAGAAAUAUCCAAACAAGGCAAGGCCAAAAGUGCUCAGUAGCACAAAUAAAAGCUAAAGUGGAAAAUAACAACAACAACAACAAAAAAAAUAGCAACGAUAAAAGAAAAACUAAACCCAAAUAUAUUUCCAAAUAUAUUUAGUGUAUACUCCCAUCUGAUGUUUACGCGUUUGCUCCUCUAAUCCAUAUAAAAAUAUUGCACAAGAUUUAAUUAACAAAACAUUUAUUCUACCACCAAAGCAAGAAAAAUAUCCUCUCAGGUCCCUAAACUCUCGUUUUCCAAAUUUCUAUAACUCCACACAUUAAAGCAAACCUUUCCACACCCAAUCUUGAACAAAUAAUUCUGAUUUCAAAUGGUAUGCUACUUCAAUGAUUAAUCCCAUAUGUCGAAUAGCUAAAACAGAAUAUUAUUAUUGCAUAAAAUCAUCACAUAAGCUAGCAAAGACUUGAGAAUUAACCUUCAAUAUGUGCUGCCCCAACAUCAUCAAGGUCUCUUCUUGCAUCGAACUUCAAGUCUGAACCAACAGAAAUCCACCUGUGUAAGAACAUUAGAGAAGAUGAAAAACAUUAUAGAACAUGGGUUGAAAUAUAGCAUCCUUCCUAGCUGCAAUGCAAAUUAAUAACUUAACAGUCCAGUUAAAGCCACAAAAAAUGAACAGAGGAUGAGGAUAGAUUGAAGGUCUGCAUGCAAAUCAGUGAGUGUAACCCAAAACUUACAAUGCUUUCCUCCUUGCAUGGUGCCAGUUUUCCCAUAUCAAGCCCGCAAUUGUCCUACCUUUACCCACACCAGCUCCGUCUCCAAUAAAGAAUCCAGCCCUGGCACCAUUUGGAAGGUGUUGAAGGUGUCUCUGUGAUCAAAUCAACAAUAACUUAUAAGUAGUGGCAUACAUAAUCACCUACCAUAAGUUCUAUUGUAGAAAACAACCUGACAUGCAUAGACUAAUGUCUCAAUCUGCAAGCAUGACAAAGCCUUUGAACUUUCUAAAUCAUCCUUGAUUUUUAGAUCAUAAGUGGGCUCAGGUGGCUGCACUGCAGACAAGGAAGACGUCUCCACAAUAGGAUCAGGAUGAGGUGGUCCAAUAGAUAGUUUCGGAGGUCUCUGCAUAAAGGAACCCAUAAACAUCAACUAAAUUCUACUGCUCAAUAACCAAAAACUAUACACGAGCUAAAAGUUCAGAAAUGCAGAGAAUAUCAUUGCAGAACUUCUAAUGUGAAGCUUUUAGAAAUAAUACUCACAUAAUCUGUAAAAGUUUCUCCCACAGUGCCACCUUCAUCUUCUUCUCUCUCCACUUCAAUGGCUACCUGACAGGUUUUAGUGUCAAAAAGGAUGAAACAAAGAGGAAUAUGAACAAGUUAACAUAUUUUCAAAUCACCAGCUUCCACAAGACAUCCCGCAACAGGGCACUCGAAUAUACAUCUGAGAUCUUUUGAAUUUUGUUUGGCAGGGUGAUGGUGAGAAAAACUUUUAUUUUUAUUUUUAGAUAAGAGAAGGGGCAUCCAAGAUCUUUUGAGUUUUGUUUGGCAGGAUGGUGGUGGAGAAAAACAUUUAGUUUUAGAUAAGAGAAGGGGUGCCAAUUUAUAAACCCUGAGCUUUGAUUUGGUGGGAAUGAUGACAAAGCUGGUUGAAUAUGGAUGUCAUUUUGCACUUACCAAGCUAUUUCAGUCCUGGUAGAGAUACUUGUUGUUAGAAACGGAGUAUUUCUAAAAUUUUCCAAAUUUGUCAGUAGAGACAAGCUUGUUUCUAUAUUUGCUAGAAAUUGUUAAUAGCAAGAUCUAGGUUCCUAUUUUAUAUAUCGGUGCCCAAUGUUCCUCAAGCAAAUGGAUUUCGUUUAAGUUGUUUUCUAAUGAUAUAAGAAUGUCUGAGUCUUCCUAUUUAGGAGUCCAAGUCCAACUAGGCUACAAAUAGUUUCAAGUAAAUAAACAUGUUUGUAAUCCUUGAAUUCAAUUGGAAAGUUCUGUGAAUAACUUCACUACCUUUCUCUACACUCACAAAGUGUCACGCUUCCUUCCUGGGAAUGAUCUUAACUGAGGGUAUUCUUCUUUCCUUCCCUGAAUUAACCCAGAAAUCAACUUUUCAAUCGCUCUUUCAGGAUCUCUAACAUAAAUCAUCAGAGAACCUUGUAAGAGCAAUAAGGUGUUAUACUCCCUUCUAACGGGUUUUAGAAAACUAAAUGAAAAAACACAGCCCACUUCUCUUAAUUCCCAGUCUCAUUGUGUACCAAAAACCUCGCAAGGAAGGUCGUGAAACGAAGAACUCCUGAUGUUGAAAUUUAGAAGUAGAAGACCUAAAUAAGCCAGCACGUCACCCAACUGUGAAACGGCAGUGUCCUCCACCCUCUAGUACAUUGCCAGCUACAAUGCAGCUACUAAAAGCUUAACCUUUUCUUUCUGUUAGCACUUAGCACGCAUACAUUUCUAGUAAUUAUGAGUGUUGCCCUUAUUCACUACCGCUACUACUGCUUAGAAGCAUCACUCAGCAGAAAGCCCUAAUUUUUUUAAAAUUCAAAUAAAUUUUACUCCAUUUAAAUAAAUACACGAAAAAAAAAUCAGAGAACAAUUGAUGCAAAACCUCGUUGACUUCUUCGGGGGGAGGAGGAAGAACUGGUCGCGGUAGAGGAGGAAGAGGAAGCACCGCUCGCGAAGGAGGAGGAAUAGCAGGAGGAGGAGGAAAGAGCUGUUUAAUCUUCGACAAAUCAACAGCGAGAUCGAUAAAACACUGAGGGCACUGAAACCGAGCCAGACCAUGAGGAACAUUCAAAAUAGCCUUGCAAUUAGCACAAGGCAGUUGCAUCUUGGUCGGAUCGACACCGUGAGCAGGCGCUUGCAGUUGCGAAGGCGACGUAAUUUUAUGGAGCAUAUUGUUAUUGUUUUGAAGCGGCGGAGCCACCGCCUUUUUCAUGAGCUCAGGCGGCAGCAUUUGCGGCAUCUUACAUGAAGGACAGACGAAUUCCGUGAUUCCGGGUCCGACGGUUAAGAUCAUUCGGCAUCCAGCGCAGCGGACCUGGACGCUGCCGCCCGCAGAGUGAGGUUGUGGUGAUGGUUGUGAGGCCAGCGGCGGUGGUGCCGAUGGCUGAGUCAUAGUAUAAUAAUUUAUUUUCUGAUUGAGGGGAGGUAAGUGGUGGUGUGGAGAGGUAGAACUGGUGGGGAUUGGGGCGCGAAGGGGUUUCUGUUGGGAGUUAGAAGGUUUUUUUAUCUCAGUUUUUUUUUUUUAUCAGGUCUCAGUUUCUUUUUAUUAUUCCAGGAAAUGAUAUUUCGCUGUGGGUGGGUAGUGGACUGAUAACCGAACGCGCGUUGCGCGUGAUCGGGAGAAGCACUUUUUUCUUAUCGGAAUAAACUCUGGGAGGUUGCUUUGCUUGUCGGGUAAGAUAGUAUUCGGAGCCGGGGUUUCUGCAUAAUAUCUGUAUGUAUUUUGAGUUUAUCUUGUUAAUUGUAAUGAGUUAGACUUAAUUAUAAUUAAAAUUUGAAGUUUAACAAAUAAAUUUAAAACUUAUUGUAAAUUGUAAUAAAUAAUUCAGAUUUAAUACAUAAACAAUCAUUAAAAUAAAAUAAUCAGUUGUAAACAAAAUAAUAGAACACAGAAUAAUAAAUUAAGUUUAUUAUUAUGGAAUUUAUAAAUCAAGUUAAGUUAACCAUUUCUUAAAAAAAAAUUAUCCAUAUUUAUUUCUUACAUUUUUUAUGUAAUAUUAUUUAUAAUAUUUAUAUUAUCUAAAUUCAAGUUAAAUAAUACAAACAUUAUAAAUAAACCGGUUUUUUUUAACACCCUAUGCUGGCGAGCUAUGCCUUGUUAUCCCGGGCCCUUCCACAAAAUUUACAGAAAGUGACGUGGACGAAGCAUCAAUCGUCACCUCCUUAUCAUACUCAGCGCACCGUAAAAGUCGUGGGAUCCACCUCCGCUGCUCAAAGCCUCUUGGAAAACAUAUCUCAGCCCUCAGGAAUCCUCACAACACCCUGAUGCUGUGUUAGUUUCCGCGGCUAUCCGCGUGUUUUCAGGAAAUUUAAUUUUUUUAAAAUAAAAUAUUAUUAUUAUUCUAAUUAUUUUAAAGUCACGAUAAAAAAAAUAAAUUUUAAAAAUAUUAUUUUAAUAUAUUUUUUAAAAAGUAAUUAUCAUGGUACCAAACAUCCUAAAUAUAUUGAAAGCUUGCAAUGAUCUAUUAUUAUACGCAUUUGGAUUGCUAUUUAAGGCCGGUUUGUUUACAGAGCAUUUUAAAAAAUAAUAAUUUAUUUUUAGAUUAAUUUUUUAAUAUUUUUAAAUUAUGAUGUUAAAAAAUAAUUUUUUAAAAAUAUAUAUAAUUUCAAUAUUUUUUUUAAAUAAUCAUUAUCAUAAUAUCAAACUAUCUCUAAUUUAAUAAAACAUGUAAAUUUCACAUUUAUUCUUCAUUUCUAUCCAUCUUGUUUUUAAUUUUAUACUUUUUUCCCGUUUGCUAGCUAAUUUAUCAAAUUCUAGCUUAGCAUGUGUUUUUUUUUAUAUAAAAAACUGAUUUACACGGAGAGAUAUGUUUUCGAAAUAUUAAUUGUUGCAAUGUUGAUUCAAUCAGUAAUUUAAUAGUUUGUUUAAAAGUGUGAUUGUAGUUAUUUUUUUAAAUGUUUUUUAUUAAAAUAAUAUUUUUUUAUUUUAAAAAAUUUAUUUUUGAUAUUAACAUAUUAAAAUAAUCUAAAAAUAUUAAAAAUAUAUUAAUUUAAAAUAAAAAAAAUUAAAUUGCGUUGAACAAACAAUAACUAAUUCCGUGCAAUGAUAUUCGCAAAGUCACUCGUAAUGUUAGUCCACGUCAGAGUAUUACUCACGCAUCAAUGUUUUAACUACAAACAUAUGCGAGUUUAUAAUGAGUUUGUAUGGAUCAACUAAAAAAUUAUAUACAGACUUUAUUUAUAUUGCCUGGUUUCAUAAACUUCUCAAUCCACCUCGUAGAAUAUAGAUUGGAAUCUAUCGUCGUCAUCCUUGCAGUUUUCAAAGUCCAGCCAAUUGUUCAACAACUACAAAAAAAAAAAAAAAAAAAAAACUCACCCUUUUCAUUUUCCCACCCCUUUUCUUAUUUUUCUCCGAGAAAAUUGUUUUCCCGAUUUUUUUUUUAUUUUUCUCCCAAAUUCCCAAUGAUAUGAUCAAGUUGGAUCCGUAUUCGUCAAUCAGGUAUUUGCUGAGCAACCACCUUAAAACUAAAAAAAUAUCGCAUGUUUGAUGGUCUUCAUUUAUUAAUGUCAUAUUCAAAAUAUCAAUUCAAAUAUAAUUUUAAAUUAUAAAAUUAUAUCAUCAGGGACUAAUAAUUAAUUAACAGAAAACAAAUUUAAAGAGAAAAUGAGUUACUUGUUCACCUCCUCGCAAAAUACCAUUUGAUUUUUUAUAUAUAGUUUAGUUUAAUUUUUUUAUUUAUUAUUAUUUAAUAUUAGAUUUAUUUGAAAUUUAUCUAUAUUUGUUUUAACAAAAUUAUCUAAUCUAAUGAUCAAAAUCACAUGUUUUACAGGUUAACAUAAAUUUACUCCGAUCUUAAUUAUAUUAUUUUAAUUUUAUCAUUUGAUAUCGGGUGAACUAAAUUACACCUAGUAAUUUAUUUUGAUAUAUUUUUUAUAAGAUCAUCACGUUUUCACAAUCUUGAUUCUAAAUUUGAUAGAUAACUCAAGUUAGUCUUGAUUGAUUUAACAUGUUAUCAUGUUAAUGUUUUAAAAUAAUAUUUUCUUGAAUUUUAUUUCAAGUUAGAUUAUAUUUUUAUUAAUUUUAUUUUUGAAUUUAUAAAAUCAAUAAAGUCAUGAAAAGUUAAUUUUUAUAUAAUUUAAAUUUAUUUUAUAUCAAAAAACUUGUUAGCGUGGCUUGAAUAUUUUCCUCGCAUUAAAAAAAAAAAUGAUUCAUAGCAUAGCGUAUAACAAUGAUGUAGUUUAUACUGGUUUGCGAUCAAGAUGGUCGCAUACAGGGACAUUCGAUGUUUUUUAUAUCCAGGAAUGAUGCAGUGUUAAAUCAAUUUGUCGGUAUAGCAGCCUUGUGAUAAUUUACUACGUGCUCGUUGUUUGUUGAAGUGACCUGCGGUUUAUGAUGGUUAAAAAUCAAAAGAAUGAUGGUAAAUUAUUGGAUAUUGUUUAUUUUUUAAAAUAUAAAUUAAUUAAUUAUUGAGAUAAUAAUAAAUUAAAUUGAUUAUUUUAUUUUAUUUUACACUGGACAAUAAUUUAUACAUUGGUCAGAAAAUUUAAUAAAUCAUGCAUAUAAAAACAAUUUAUUAUAUAUUCAAAUAGGAUAAUUAAUUAAAUAUAAUUUGAUUGCAAAUAAAUUUUCAAAUUUGAGAUAUUAAAUGUAAUUAAUUAAGGGUAUUACAGUUGUAGACAUGUAAACAAUCAAAUAAACUACUAAAUAAGCCUAAAAAUAUAUAUAAUAUUAUUUAUGGGAUAAAUUGAUAUGUUUUUAUAUAAUUUAACAUUUUUUUUAUAAAUAGAAUAACUUGCAUGUUAUUUCCCAAUAAAAAAAGGGCAAUGACACUACAGUACAUAAAAAUAAAAAAACCAUAUAAUUUUCAAAUAAAUAGCACUCUAAUGUACAAUAUUUUUCUUGCAAAGGAGUUUAAAAUAAUUUUUAUUGGUAGUUUCAUUGAUUAUUAUUAGAGAUUAGAUAUUUAAAUGAGUUGAUUAUUAUUAGAGAUUAAAUAUUUAAAUGAGUUGUAAUUUACGAUAACCCAAUUCUAAAUUAAAUAUUCAAAAUAAAAUAAAAACCAUAUAAUUUUCAAAUAAACUUUUAAUAACUCUGAAUUUAUAUAGCUCCAAGACUGAAAAUUUUCAAAUUUACUAUUUAUAUUUUUAUUUCAUAAUCAUGUAUCGGGAACCAACAUCUCUGGGUUCGUAUUUGUUGGCCCUCUCUUCUCUUUCAAGGAUCCUUAUUAACAAAUACCAUUAAUAAGUCAAAAGUUCAUCCUUAUACCCACAAUCCAAAGCAUAAUUAAAUACAGCAAGUCUUAAUUUAGAUUUAUUUUAAAUCAUUCAAAAAAUCACACUACCUGUAAAAAAUGCAUGCUUCUUAUCAAAACAAGAAAUUGCAUUUAUAAGCAAAUGAAAUCUUGACUUGAAAAAUAUUUUUCUAUCUUUAUAUGUAAAUAUUAAAGUUUUUUUAAGAAUAUCUACCCUGAUUACCUGAUAAUUAAAUAAAAAUAAAAUUUAAAAUCGUCACGUAACCGCACGGGAGCAGCCAGUAUGUUAAAAAAAUAAAAAAUAGUUAUAGAUAACUGGAUCCAAUUAAAUGGACCAAAACAAUCGUUGUUUCUAACCUACUAGCCUGGCCAGUGCAACAAGACGAUACCAUGAUGGGCUGAGGCUGACGGCUUUGUGCAAUAAAUUGAAAGUUCAACACGUGGAAAGUAUGAGAUGACCCCCGUUCGGUCUUGCGUGCCAAAGGGGUGGCCAAACUUUUUUUUUUCUUUAAAAAAUAAUUUAUUUUUUAUAUUUUUCUGGUAUAUUAAUAUUAAAAAUAUUUUUAGAAAAAAUAUAUAUAUUAAGAGAUGAUUUAUAUCGUGAGAAAGGGCAUCUUGAAUAUGACUUGGAUUGAGAAAACACAAUGGCUGAUAACUUAGUCCUCGUACUAAUUAGUAGAUUAAUUAAUUAUCCUUCUACUUUUAACUUGAUGAAUUAAGUCCCUGCAGCCUUGAUUUUUUUUAUUACAUUGUACCCUUCGUCAAACCCCAUUUUUCGUGUCGCUUUAUUUUUCAUGAUUUGAACAUUUAGAGGAUAAAGUGGUUUGAAAUACCUUGUAUUUUUUUUAAUUGUGUUUAUUAUAUUAUUAUAUAGUAUUUAACUCUCCAGUCUACCACUAUGUUAGUUUUUUUUUUUCUAACCUAAGAAAAACUAUAUAUUUCAAUUAAAAAAUGCACUUUCUGUAUUAGAAAGAAUCAUUCAAAAUAUUAUAAAAAUAAAAAAAAAAUUAAUCGAACCAUUGAAAUUUUAAGAAAUAAAUUUUUUAUUAUUUUAAAAUAAAAAAUACAUCUCCUGUAUAGCUCGUAUGAGUACCUAAAAAAAAAAACUUGAUUGAUUAAUUUUCACAAAUGCAAGCAAAAAAAAUCAGUACAGUCACUAAAAAGAAAAGAAUCGAAACACCCUAAACACCAUUAUUCGCAACAUUUAAACCUCAAAAUUAAAAUAUCAUGAGAAAUGAACAAACGAAAUAUAUUUUUAUUUCAAGGAUUUUUUUUCAAAUGAUAGAAGGGAUGGGAAAUCAUUUCCCCCCUCCUUCUAACCCUGAAAGGCUGGAAGCCUGGAACCGAGUCACAGUCAUGCUUCAAAAUUCUCCAUCAAACCAUGCUUUCAUUUCUUGUCGAUUCAAGGCCAUGAAAACAUCAACUUUCAUCUUAAAAACAAGCGCUGUUUUUUUUUAUAAUCAAAACAACGAAAAAUUUAACCAAUCACAAUUGAAUAAAAUGCUCUUUUAAGUGACAGUUGUGUCAGACAAGACAGUAGGAGCACAUGUCGUUUAUUUGCUGCGAUUUUCAUCAACUGAUCACCUGUAAAAAACGGAGAUAGGUGUUUCAGUCGUAAUUAAAAGCAGAGGGAUAUAAUCCAUCAAUUUAGAAGUACAGGGGCUCGAUUAAUCCAAUCAACUAAGUACAGGGACUUUCCAAUGUGAUUACCCCUCCGCAACUAACCACGUCUCUUGACUUUUUUGUUUCCCUAACCUAAUUUCACGGUUUUUUCAUAGGUAUUGCUGGUGUUACCAGUUUUCUGAUCUAUCAGCAGCUAUAUCUGCCGAGUCUCGCCUCUCUCCCGUCGGAAAAAAAAGCGCCACGUGCGAUCGCCUAUCCAAACUCGCAGUCCAACGCUGUCUAGUCCUACCGUGUGAACUGACCCGUACGUCGUUUUUUAUUCAUUUAUUUGGUAUGUAUCAUGCUAUAUAUGUGCCCCGUACUGUGAAGUUAGCUUAUCCAACAGCUACUGCUCAGCAGCGCUCAGAAUUUGCUAGAGUGUCGUCUGUGAAAUAAAAGUGGAAAACCCAGGGAAAUUAAUAGCAGUUGUUCUGGCUUUCCCUUUCCCCUGGUAAUUAAAAGCAUCUCGUGCCUUUCAAUUUUUCCACGCAAUCCUCCAUCUUUAGAAUCCUUGCUCCUUUAAGCAUCUGCCCAUUUGCAAACCACAAGCAAGUUAAUUAACUCUUUUGAUUUCUUUCUUUAGUAUAUGCACACAGCAUCAAUUCUUUCCUGAUAACAAUCCACUAGCCCGUUGCUUCCACGAUCUUUCCCUGCAAACUAACAUUUUUUUCUCUAUAUUUUCUUUCAUCUGGCCCCUUUCUGGAAUGAAGAAGAUGAUAUGGGAGGGGUUUUUUCACACGCCAAGUCUCAGCAGAGAGGUUAUAGCCGUGGCCGUAGCAGCGGAAAUAGUAACAUAGUUACAAGAGGAAUAUCUUCGUCUUCGUCUUCGACCUCGUAUUCGUAUCAUCCAAGAAUAAUGUCCAAGGAGCCAUCAUCGUCACUGAGUAAUACUGCUAGAGCCACUGGUAGUGAUACCAGCAGUCAAGAAAAGGGCGGUUCCAAACUGGAGAAGAAGCAAUCCAUUAAGCAGAAAUAUAGUUUCAUCCCUGAUAAUUUUUCUUCCUUGGAACAGGUACGUGCCAAUCUCCUCUUCAAUUAUUGUCUUUCAUUUUCUUGGAAGCCUUGCUGAUAAUUAUCCACUUAUUGAGCAAACUACACACCCAUAUUAUUCGAUUAGAGAUAUUACUUUCUUGAUGAUUUGUCUAGAUACGUGUGAAAAUCAACCCAUUAAAAUAUCUAAAAAUAAAAAAUAUUAAUUUAAAAUAAAAGAAUUAAAAAUUAUUUUUUUUUAAAAAAUAUAUUUUUUUUUUAAACAAAUACGUCAUAGUCAAUUUUUCUGAUUUGACUCUUCCCUGAUGGAAUCUCAAGGGAAUCUUCUUAUCAAUUUCUCCACUCCGCUCCAUACCGUUUCGUUUGCUUUUCAAAUACUACUUGCUUCUUAUUCUAAAAAAUAUUAUAAUUCUCCAUGGAAAAAGAUAAAAUAAUAAUGGAAAAGUUGGAUAUCCAACCCGUCAAAGUAUCGCAAGGUGCUUUUAUUUUUUAUUUUUUCUGUUAAACAAAGUCACGAAAGUACUAUUAGUGUGGUCCAGACGCCAACUUUCUUUUUUUUAUUCUCCCCACUUGGAUUAUUCAAUAUUUUUAAAGUAUUUUUUAUUUAAAAAUAUAUAAAAUAUUUUUUUUUUAUUUUUUAAUAAUUAUUUUUUAUAUUAACACAUUAAAACAAUUUUUAAAAAAUUAAUUUUUUAAAAACUCAUAACUUUUAAAAACUUAAGUUGAAAUGCUAUUCUAAUGAGAUUUUUCAAAUAGAAGACAAUAGGUAUUGAUGUUUGUAAAAUACUGUCAUUUUAUUCAAACUGAUAACAUACAACAAAGCCAUAUAAGAACGAAUUUUUUUUUAAAAGACUGAACAGAACAAUCAUGUUAAAUUUUAACAAAAAAAUAAAAUUGAUAGCUAUAUUGUUCUUUUUAAUAAAUUGAAAAAUUACUUAUUAUUUUUCUGAUUUUUUUUCGUUAAACUUAGGGCCCGUUUGUUUCCACCACCCUGGAAAUUAUUUUCCUCACUUUUUUAUGUUUGGCAAAUACAUGAAAAGUGAGUUAAAAAAAAUUAAAUUCUGGUAAAAAAAAUGUAACUGUAAGCUUAUGAAAGUGUUUUUCGCUUUUUAUUUUUAAAAAACACUUUCUUGACGUGUGCCCUGUCCUGCGUUCUCAUGCUUUUCUAAUUGUUUAUGUUAAUUGUACUGUUCAAUGAACAGUGUAUUGCGUACACUGUUCGCUCAAAAAUAGUGAACAGUGCAGUUUUCUUGCACUGUUCAUUGCUUACGAGAUUUUUUUUUUUUUUUUAAGUGUGCUAUUUUUUUAACAUUUAAAAAAAAAACUAGUUUAGAGUGAAUUUUAUACCUUUAUAUUUAUCCAAUUUUAUUACAUGCUAAAAAUAUUAUUAAAACUAUAGUUUUUGUCAGAUGUAUUUCGCACGUAAUGGAAUUAUAAAUGGUUUCAUGGAAUAGUAAAAAAUAUUUCACAAGCUUAUUUCUCUAUAAUAUGAUAUGAUAUAUAUAGUUAUAUUUUAUAAAAUAAGCUAUGUAUGAAUAUAUGAUAUAAUAAAAAAAAAUAAUCAUUAUACAUUUUAGAUUUCAUUUUUUUUAUUGUAAAUGAUUAAAUAUUUUAUAUAUAUUAGAUAAAUUUUUUUUAAAAAAUAUUAUUAAAAAAUUAUUUUUCAGUUCAUUUUCCAUAAUACAACCAAAUAUUGAAAAAUAUUUUAUAUAACACUAUCAAAUAUCGAAAAAUACUUUUCUAAAAUUUACUUUUCAAAAAUUUAUUUUUCUUCAAAUUCACUUUUAAAAAAGAAUUUACUUUCCUGCAAAUAAAAAUAACUUAACCUCUUUUUUCCCCGGCGCCAAACGAUCACGGACAAACACUCCUAAGAUAUACAGUUUCAUGGAACACACGCAGACACUCGCGAAACAUGUUUUUUUUUAAUCCUUCGAUUUUCAGGUGUUUCCUCCCUUAAUUUCAAACACAAAAACGCAGCUUUUGUCAAGGAUCAUGACAGAGGAUGCUUUUUAUUGUAAAAUUAUAUUAAAAUAAUAUAUAUUUUUUAUUUUUGCAUAAACACAUUAAAAUAAUAAAACAUUAAAAAAAUAUUAAAUUAACAUUUUUUAAAACAAAUUAAAAAAUAUAUUUCAAUCACAAUUCCAAAUAAUCCUAAGCAUAAAUACAACUUCAAAUUAUCACGGUGAGAGUACAAUCUUUUUAAACCAAAGGAAAAGAAAGAUAUAACUACUUAUGUAUAGUUUAUUUUUACAUUUUAAAUUAUAUUUACAUGUGUUUUAAAAUUACUUUUAAAUUUUAAAAAGCAUUAAAUUAUUUUUUUUUAUAAAUUCUUGUUAUUCAUAACAUAUUUUAAUCAAAUAUUAAACAAAUUCCUGCCAAAUAUUCACUGAAACAUUCUAUAUGAAUUCAUAAAAAUCGAAAUUGAAAUUGUCAAUUAUGAAACAAGAAAGAAAUCAUUCACUCCACAUGCCAUGAUAAAAAGAAGAGGGGCCAUGAUUGCCAACUACUGGCAAUAAAGACAACGCGUUUUUGGUCAUCACGUCGUCAACACGGUUUCUUCUGCUCAGUGGACACGUGAAAGUUAGAUAAGAUAUAAAGGAAAGCAAGCUUUUUCAAUCAUUAAAUAUUAUUGGUGACCCCAGGCUCUAUCGAAGGUGUUCAAGUAAAUCAUUAACCGAAUGAGAGGCGUUUAUUUAAUUAGUUAUAUUUUAGAUUUAUUUUUUAAAUAUUAUUAAUUUGAGUUUUUUAAAUUUUAGUAUUAUUAAAAAUUUAUAUAGCUGUUAAUUUUAAGACUCGUAAAAUUAGUCAUCAUGAAAUUAGAUAAGAUGAACAUAAAUUAAUUUGAUUUAAAAAAAAAAAACAGGCUAAAUAAUUAAAAUAGUCCGUUUUAUUCUCAAAUUUUAUCUAUUUUUCUUUUCUUUUCUACUAGUGUUAUACAGACAGAUUUCUCAUUCAAAUUUUUGUCUAUAAACACACGUGACAGCUGUUUUUAUAGGAGAAGUUAGUCGUUUAAAAUUCACGAGACUCACAUCUUAUCGUUUACAUUCAAUUUGAAUAUUAAUAUAGUACAAAAACUAAGGUAAAUUACAAAAAUAUCUUGAAGUAUCGUUAAACUACUCGCACCGUAAAAAAAUUUAGAUUUAAUAUAAAACCCCUCACGUUGAAAUAAAUAUUAUAAAAACCUCAUCCUUCUAUUUAAAAUGCUUUUAAUAUUUUUAACAUCACUAUUUUCGACAUCAGUCAUGAUUCUAUGUUUCUCAUAGUGGUUGGUAUAAUAUCUUCAUAUUUUUAGAUUAUUAUUAUUAUAAAUUUAAUGGAAAUUAUUGUAAUUUCUGCAACUCAUUUUCAUUUUCAAUGAUCGAAACUUAAAAAUUUAAUGGAAAUCAUAAGUUUUAUCUCUUGCAAUAAAUUAUCGAUUAUCACACGAGUACGCACUUAAAAGUUAAAACUCGACGAGUUCUACAAUAUUUUCACGGUAAUUAUCGCUUAAUUUAUAUGAAUAAGCUUAUGUUAAGUAAGCCUCGUACAAAGAUUUCUUCAAAGCCUGGACCUUAGGAACGGGAGCUAGAUUCACAUAACGUUCAGAAGCGUAGAAGCGUGGUUGUAUUUAUAUUUUUUUUAAAAAAUUAUUAUUAUUAUUAUUAUUAUUUAUAUUUUAGAUUGUUUUGAUGUAUUAAUUUUAAAAAUAUUUUUUAAAAAAUAAAAAAAAUAUUUUAAUACAUUUCAAUAUGAAAAGUAUUUUAAAAAACAAUCAUAAUCACAUUUUAAAAUAUGCUAUUAAUUUCAUCGUAAACCAAGUUUUAAUGUGUGUUUAAUAAUAUAUUUUAAAAAUAUAUUAAGAUUAUAUUUUCUUAAGAUUUUUAUUUAUUUUUUAAGGUUGUAUAUAUAAGUAGAAUUGUAUAUUUUUUUAUUAACUCUAUGAAAAAAUAAAUUUCAGAUUUGAUGCUCAAAAACCAUCUUUAGCCUUAUUAUUUAUACUCAAUUCCAAUCUAUUUAUAAACUAUUCUAGUCAUUUUAGAUCGGUAUCUGUAAAAAGAAAAUCAUUCAAAGAAAAAUGAAAACGUGUUCACGUGAUCCACGUGGACGACCGGUCUCUUGAUUAACAAAUGCGAACGACCGAGUCAACUCCACUGGGUUUCCGGACCCAGCUGUGCUUUAGUCGACUGUUCAGUGUUAACGCAACGCGCGGAGGGUGAUAAACGUUGAUGAUUUUGGUCAGCAUUGAUUGCAUACGCUGCUGUUAUUGUCACUCUGUUUUCCGAUGGUUUGAUUUUGUGUCAUUGCAAUACUUCAAUCCCGCCGGUCACCACUUUAAAAUAUUUUUUAUUUGAAAAUAUAUUAAAAUAAUAUAUAUAUUAAAUUUAUUUUUAUUCCAACACAUUAAAACAAUUUAAAAAUAAAAAAAUAUUUGACCAAAAUAAAAUAUUUUUUUAAUUUUUAUAAAAUCACUCGCAAAAUAUAAAAGCAAACAAACUAAAAAAAUCAACAUCACUCUUUGGAUAGUUUGACCAAAAUUAAAUAAAUAAAUAGGGAUGGAAAUUAAUAAGGUCCUUGUAUUUUAUCUUAAAUUUAUAUUUCAGAUUUUAUUCUUUAAUUUGACCAAUAUAUACCUUAAUUUUAAAAAUCCAUUAGUAGAGUUAAUGGUUCAAGGGGUGAGGUCCCCAAGCAAUGUAACGUGGUGGCAAAGGACUUGAGAUCUGCAUAACAGGUCUCGAGUUUGAGUCAGGGCGUGCACUUCUUAUAAGAAUAGGACAGCCGGAGUUUUACUCACUCACCUGGGCUCAUAAAGUGCGCUUUCCGGAGAGUGAGGUUUCCUCGAAUAAAAAAAAAAAGGUUCAAGGGCGAGGUGCAAGUUGCGACUUCAAAUACGCAGAGCUUUUUGUAAACCUUCUGCAAACGCUCGUCAUGGGUUAUAACAUUAAAUUGUUAACGUUAGGAAUUGCUUUGUUGAUUAUGCAUGGAAAUCACUUGCUAGCAAUGUACGUAAUUUCAAUAACAGAAGUUUGUUGCUUCAGUAUAGAUAAAAAUAUGGCUACUUGGUUAAUUCUCGCAGUCUACUACUAACAGGCUCCCCCCCUCUUUUACAGGUUACGACAGCCUUGAGGGAAGCUGGACUGGAAUCAUCAAAUCUCAUUGUUGGAAUUGAUUUCACUAAAAGCAAUGAAUGGACAGGUAUGUGCAAGUGAAGUAAUCACAUCGUCGAUUUGUACCAUAAAAUUUGUGUUUUACUUAUCAGUUAUUCAGGAAUUUGGAUUUUGAGACUUCCAUGAAGUUGAAAUAAGUAUUCAGAGUCGAAAACCCAAUCUCUAGAAACCUAAGGGGGCGGCAAUCUAAUAAUAUAGCAGAAUGGUUCAAUUAUAUCCUCGUGUUUUCUGUUCCUUGAAUUGGUUUGUCUCUCAUGGAUGUCAAUUGUUGAUUUUCAUUUUAAAGGCAAAGUCUCGUUCAAUAAUCGUAGCCUUCAUGCCAUCGGAGACACACCUAAUCCAUAUGAGAAAGCCAUCUCUAUUAUUGGAAAGACGAUGGCUCCUUUUGAUGAAGACAACUUAAUUCCUUGUUUUGGCUUUGGUGAUGGUAGGUUCAGUCCCUGGAAGUUGAAUUCUAACAAUGUUGAUUCUAGUUUUGCACCUUAUAACUCAUCUGUUGAAUUGAGUGUUCUUUUUAUCUAUACAGCCACCACUCAUGAUCAAGAGGUGUUUAGCUUUCACAGUGAUCAUUCACCUUGCAAUGGUUUUGAAGAAGUCUUGGCAUGCUACAAAAAGAUUGUUCCAAACUUGCGACUUUCAGGUUUGUUCCUUGCUUAUUUGAUGUUGGAAUUUGGUCUUUUAUCAAUUCCUUAGUUUUCUUAAUUAGACCCAUGGUUGAACAUUACUUCUACGAAGAUUCUUGUGAUUUACUUAUUACUCGAGGAGCCACAAAAAUCUUCACCGAUAUAUGUUUUGGUUUUAAGGGCCGACCUCGUAUGGACCGGUGAUUGAGGCUGCAAUUGACAUUGUGGAAAAAAGUAAAGGCCAAUAUCAUGUAUUGCUCAUCAUUGCAGAUGGCCAGGUUUGAAUUCAAAACCCUCUCUCCUUUUCUGCAUGCUUGCAUAUGUUUGUUUCUGUAUGGAUGGGUGCAUAUGUAAUCAAAGCAAUAACCUCUUUUUCUGUGAAGGUCACAAGAAGUGUGGAUACAGGCGAUGGAGAAAUGAGUCCACAAGAAGAGCAAACAAUCAAGGCAAUUGUCGAUGCAAGGUCGAGCCUUACAGAUAAAUGCAAAUCAUUUAAACUUGCUUAGACUAACAUUCAUAGAAAAUAUAUCCUAGUGUCACACUAUAACUUUCAUCUAAUUAAAAUGACAAACUUAGGUUCUUAUUAGAACUAUCACUUUCUUGGUGCGCUUGGGGUGCCAGCCCAUUUACAUUUAGUGUUAUGGUGGUUAUGGAAAGGGGUUGCUAAUCUUUAGCAGCUGCUUGAUAAACUUGCUUUUCAUUGUCACUAGAAUGGCCAUGACAUUCCACUUCACAGACUACUAUACUUGACCUGCUAUUGCUACAUGACUUGCCUAGAUAGAUGUACAUUGCUUCGGCAGUUACAUAAAAAGAAGGUGGUCAACUGAUGGCUGUCUUUAUUUAUUGAGAAGUGAUCCCAUUUUGUGAUGUCAAUCACUUGUAAACUAUCAAAUGAAUCAUAAGGGGUUAACAAUCUACUUUUAGAUCCUAGUAAGUAUACAGAUUAUCUUGCAUCAUAACCAGAUUGUUAUCCAGUUGUUUGUUUGUGUCAUGCCAGCUCGAUAUUGCAUUUGUAUGUGAAAAACACUCAAAGUCCACACAGAACAUCGAGGAUGCAGAAUGAUUGCUUCAUGUUCUCCUCCACAGUCAGUUAUUCAUAACUUUAUUGCACUGAGUUUACCUGUUUUAUGUUCCCUAACAUGCCAGUCAGCCUGUAUCAACAGUAAGUGUUCCCUAACAUGCCAGUCAGCCUGUAUCAACAGUAAGUGGAUGUAAAGUUGAAUCUAAUGAUUUUCAUCAUCGGAUUCUAACAAUGCCAGAAAAUGGAGUUGUGUUUAUUCUGAAAUGUGUUGCCAUUUCUUUUAUGAAAAGCAAUUACAAUGUGUAACCUUAUGAUAUUCUUAAACAGUUCAUACCCACUUUCGAUAAUUCUUGUUGGAGUUGGUGAUGGACCUUGGGAAGACAUGAAGAGAUUUGAUGACAAAAUCCCAGCACGUGAAUUUGACAAUUUUCAGGUAUAGUGAUAACAAAAUGAAUGUUAAGUUCGAAUGCCAUCCAACAUUCUGAUUUAAUUUAAUAUACGUUCUAGCACUUUAUCAACAUGAUUCUGAACUGUGUGCAGUUCGUUAAUUUCACUGCAAUUAUGUCAAAAAAUGCAACCAUCUCCGAGAAAGAAACAGCUUUUGCUCUAGCUGCUCUGAUGGAGAUUCCCCUCCAGUAUAAAGCAGCUGUUGAGUUUGGUAUUAUCGGGUAGGUUGAUAAACUUGUUUAUUCACUACAUUUUUUUAACACAACAGCUUUGCCAGCAUUUGAAAACGUUUUGAAAAUUUCAAAAUAAAGGCCUUCAGCAGGGGAGCCAAUUCUAAAACUGGGCAGCACGUCUUAGUUUUGAAUCUGGGUAUGGAAAAAAUUGGUUGGCUUGUCCUUUCAAUUUCAAUGAGAAAACAGCAACGGAAGGAUUUCCAUUUUUACGUUUCCCAGCAUUCCUAAUGCACUGACCACUUUGUUCUGCAUACCAUCCAUUUGUUUUUACGUGUUGUCUCAUAUCUUUAAAUGGCCUUUGGAGAAAAGACGUUCCAUGGGACAAGCAAAGAAAAUCGUACCACGCCCUCCUCCAGUUCGUUAUUCUCGCCGUCCAGUGCUAGAUCGUGAACCAUCCCAUGUUUCUUCUCCGGUCUUGGAUGAUAGAACCCAGGUUUGAAAAUAAUCUCGUGUAAUGCUGUCUUUUUUUCUGGAACAUUGUAGCUCGUCUAUAAUUUAUAACUCUGAAAUAUGUGUUUUUCAAUCUUUCAAUUUGAUUAUAGGCCUGCCCUAUUUGUCUGACUAAGGGAAAGGACUUGGCCUUCGGCUGUGGGCACAUGGUAAGCUGCUACCCAAACAUAGCCAGCUUUGUUUUUUCUUAACCUUUUUGUUAGGAUGCUAAUACCGUUGCUUGGUUGUAGACAUGUAGAGAAUGUGGAUCAAGAGUAUCUACUUGCCCUAUAUGCCGCCAGCCAAUCACCAACCGUAUCAGGCUGUUUGCUUAACAACUGGAUCAAGGGGAUUGUAUCUUGAACUGUACAUGUGGUUCUCUUGCUUUCUUUUAGUGCGUGUUUGUGUGUGCGCAUGAGCGUGUGUUCGAGUGUGAAGGCAGUCAGAUUUCUUCGCUCUGUAUCUUGCUCUGUUUCUAAAGUUGAUGCAGAACUUCUUUUUACGGUUAAGAAUGAUGUAUAUUAUGCUGCAAAAUCUAGCUUGUGGAAUCACUUCAUCUCUAAGUAAUUUAGAAUAUAAUUUAGGGAGGCGAUUCUCCGAGUCAAAAGCCACCCCUGCACGGCUUUAACCUCCUCCUCAACUCCAAUACUGGAAUUAGCCCCCGGGUUGCACUGAUCAUCUGCAAAUUCACGGGGUUGCAAGGGCUUUCCAAAAGGGAAACAGCUGCUCAUUAGCAAAAUUGACCCGAAGUUAAGAAUGUGCCCAAAUGCUUUUAGCCUGAAGUUGUAUGAAUUUCUGUUUCAAUCAACUUCCUUGCCAUCAUUGAACUUCAAAAUAAACAGGAAUAGAAGUAAGCAAUGUGAGAAAGUCAUCAAUGGCUUACUUUUCGUUCUGAUGCGAUUACGAUGAGCCCUAUUAUCAUACUGUAUGCUUAACUAUAGUAUCCACCGAUAAAGACUUAUAAAUGAUGCACUCGUGCAUAAAACAUGUCACUUCUUCCCAAGCCUCGUAUGCCAGGCCUGGAAUCAAGCCUUGGCACUAACAUCAUCUUCUUCAUGAACUACCAGGACACUGCAAAUAGCUGAGAAGCAUUUUGGGUUCAAGAUGCAAAACCAAAAGCAAACCAGAAACAAUAUAAUAUGAAAUACAUUGUUGUCGUUCCCAGCGGGUAUGAAAAAAACCAUACCAAAGCAGAAAUAUUCCAAACAAAACACAGGCUACAAGCUGUUGCGUAACAAGAAGAAAAGGGACCAUUUUGCAUUUCUUGUGCUGCCAUGACAUUAAUAUACCAAAUAUAGAAAGGGUCACAUCAGCAAGAACCAUCAACUAAUCUGCUUCCUUUGAUCGUCAUCAAGUUUCUGCUCCUUGUCAGCUUCAGUGUUAUUCCGCUUGGGUAUUGACUGAAUCCUUGCAUAUGGGUUUCUUGUAAAUGUCUCCCCUCUUAGAGCAGCUACAUAGCGAUCGUUUGUAUCCUCUUUCCGCUGCAGCUCGCCAAGGUAUACUUUACCCAUCAUCUGAUUGAGAAAUUCGAGCAAACAAAACUUGUCAACAUGUACUUCCAUUUGAAGAUGAAAAGGGUGAUAAUUAUUAACCAUGACCCAAUCUUAACUCUAGGAUACGAGACAGAAAUUAAAGAGGAACUAACCCAAGUAUCUAAAGCAGUUACUCUGAGGUCACUGCCAUGCACUUUCAUUCCCGUGAUUACCAAAAGAUGACUUCAGUUAGAAGUGGCCUUACUUGUGAAAUCCAUCUGCAAUAUAUUGAAAUUUGGAAGCUUAACCAAGAUGAAAAGUAUCCAAUGACUAGUUUGCAACUCUAUGCUAAUUGAGGCACCCUUCAGAAGCUUUACCCCACUUCCACUCUUCCUCUUGAUAUCUAUGAGUGAUUAACAUACUUUGCAUAUAUUAUUUUCUAGCAUUCGAUGCUAAACUACUUGUAAAUAUAGCAUCAGAGUUAGAGUCAGAUUCUUAAAAUAAACAAGUUAUCAAAAGAAUCAGGAAUUAAAAUAUGUCAAUAAUCAGAAAACAGUAGGCCAUGCCCAAAAAUCUGCAGAUCAAACGUUUUUAUGGAGAAAAUCAACGGUGAUUCAAGAUAUAUAUAACGUACGUACAAGGGAAUCCGUCGAGCUCGGGGUUGCGGGAGUUGGUGGUUUGCAUCACGAAAUACCCAAUCACACCUGGAACGACACCGCAUAAUGUAGCGAAUGCGAAGAAGAAUGGCUUUGAGUCUCUUGUCUUCCUCACUAUCCACCUCCAUGCCUCGCUCUUCUCCUACAGUAUCGACAUCUUCCAUCCCCCUGCACUCUCCGAGUUGGACUGGGUGAAGCUUAAUUCAACUUAACGAGUGAUUCUAUCUGGGGCUGGCCCUUGCAGUUUGAAGCAAAGAUAGAGAGGCCCAGAAGCGUGAUUUAGUUUGGGCCCGUAUUUUCUCUAGAUUUUUUCUCGGUAUUUUUUGGCACGGUAUAAUGGGCAGCAAACAUGUCACUUCACUUAUGGGCCUGAAUUGUUGGACGAUAAAAUCACUUUUAGCUCAUUGUUUUUGUUUUUUGUGGUGAUUAUUUUUUAAAAUAUUUUUUUAUUUGAAAAUAUAUUAAAAUAAUAUAUAUUUUUUAUUUUUUAAAAAUGAUUUUUGCUAUAAAAAAAUAUAAAAAUAGAGGGUUGUGGGAGUAGGAAAUAUGGCAAGACAUAUAAAAGAGGUGAUUUGAACUGGGAAUUCAGUAAUGAUGGAGAGUCAUCUGGACUCAUUGUGAUCCGAACCUCCUAAUGAAAGAGGGUUUUUUUUUUUUUUUUAAAUAUGGCAAGAGAGAGAUCUCCGUUAAAAUGUAGUACUGGACGGAGAAAUAUAUUCCCGACCGAGCACCCUAACCACCACUCCUCUGCCCUACCUCCAAAUAAAAAUGUAGAAUGGACCGCGAUUUUAGUUAUCAGUUUCGAACCUUCAACAUUACAAGCUAACUAGAUAAUUUAAAAGGGUUAAACAUUAGCUGAACGCAGAUAGAUUCAAUUUUCUUUUUUUUACCCGUUAAAUUAAAAGGGUUCAUUCUUGAAAACGCACCUCAAUUUUCACUUUUCCGGGCGCUAUAUAGCUAGAUAGCCGAUCAUCUCAUCCACACGGCAUUUUAUUUAUUUAUUUAUUGAAGAAUAAUGCAUUUUUUUUUGCUGGGGAUUCUUCUACUCCGGAAUAUAUAGCUAGCUACAAUUAUCCAAGAAUGAUCAGAUUUUUCGAGUAGCGUCUGAUUAUUACUAGAGAUCAUAACAUUGACUAGAUACCCUAACAAGAUUGCCUGUCCAUUUGCCGUUCUCUCUCAAACCUUGUGGAAAAUUCGAAACGGUCCCUUUCAAAUUAAUCUCAGCGGGGUCGACAAAGUUUGGGAAGGCGCUAUUCCUGCUUGGGCAUGGGAGGAAAGGAUGGACGAGGUCGCUUUCAAAACUAUAGGCAAAUUAGAGAUUAAUGUCCAAAUGACAUUCGUGCCCUCAGGAACUGUAGGCAACCCAGCAGCUAUACCAUGAAAGCUACACCUCGUAUAGUUACGUGUAAUGGAAGAAGAAUCUGAACAUUUGUCUUUUGUAUGAACAAACUAAAAUGGAAGCUAGAUUUAGAGCCGCCAUCUUGGAAUCCCUUUCUCUUUCUUCUUUAUGGAUCGCUAACUGCCAUCUCUCUACUGUUACAAUCCACCAAUACAUCACACCCAGGCAUCGAUCCGCGAUCUCUUUGCCCUUGUGCUUUCCUUUGCUUUAUUUCACUCGGUAAUAGCAAAUUAAUAAAUAUAAAUCACACAUCCAUAGAAAUAUUUCAUUAGUAAAAUUCUAUCAUUAAAUCUAAAAAUUCUGGUAGUAAUUUAAUUAGAUGGUGAGAAAGUUGCAUGGCUAUAGAGUCCAUUUAACAUAAUAACACUAAUGUCUAUCAUUCUUGAGAAAGGAACAAACAACUGAAAUAUAUAAAGAAACACAACUAUAUUAAUAACGAACGAAUCAAACCCAUGUGGUAUAUGGCAAGCUGCGUAACUGUAUAUGAGAAUCAAAAUAUGGGCACUAUAACUUCUAGUUAGAACUUGAUGGAUCAAGUUGCUUUUUCCUUUUCUUUUACAUGUAGGAGCGUCUAGCUAGCUACCAUAUCUUUGCUAUCCCAUUGGUGAAAAAGAGGAACUCGGAAUCUCUUUUACGCUAAUCAAAAGCUUCUUGUUCAUGCAUAUUAAUUCACAUACAAGGUUGAUAAGGUUCUUAAGUGAAGCUGGCUACUAUAUAUCUAUGUUCUAAUACGUGAUGAUCAAUAUUAAUUGUGGAGUACGGCUAGUAAAGAAUGUAAAAGGAUCUUUCGGCAAAAGACCCUUGAAACCCUACAUCUCUCUCUUCUCAAUUUAAUCGGGUCGCACAAAUUAUAUCAACCUUUGAGCGUAAGAACCAUGUAAAGACUCAUCAAAACAAGAGAAAGCUGGAACUCCCAACAAAGUUAGCAGCUUACGUUUUAGUAAAAACUACAUGUUUUCUCCGACCCGUUGUGUUUUAAUUAUUACCCGGUGUACUGGACUUCAAAUUAAACUAGAGAGACAUUUGGGUUUGGUCAUCUUAGUUAGCUAGCGUGCGUGCAUGCUAUAUUCCGACUUCACGUCGAUCAAAGAACUACAAGUUAGAACCAAAGGAGUGCAUCGAUCGAUGAUAUUGCGGUGGAGUUGGAGAGAAAAGAGAGAGAUCAGACAGCAGUCAAAGAUUUUGGGUCUGUAAUCAUUAAAGUUGGGAGGAUGUCUUUACCCGUCUGGAAAUGAUAUUUUAAGGAAAGGAAAGGAAUCAAAGGGGGAGGUUAAUAGAAACAGAAUAAAACAGUAAAGGACAACUAGUUUGGAUGGCAGGAAAAGAAAGCGAAAAAUAACAAAAAGAAAAAGAGCGUCUAGGGCUCUAGGGUGUGACGGUGUGCCAGGUAGAUUUUCUAUUAUGGGCCCCCUUCAAGUCAUCAACUGUUGAAUGAUAAAAGCGUUCCUUUCUAUCCGGGAAUAAAAGAAGGCCAGAGUGGGCCCAUCUUAUGGCCCAUCAAAUUCCCAGAUUGCUUACGUUAAACUGAAGGCAUGCACCCACAUGUGGACCAACGAAAGUAAAAUUUAGAAAUUUAAAAGAACGCUCACAGGUCGGAUCGAGUUUUCCCCACCUCGAGAAUCCAGAUCUGUGCUAUUUUACGCAUUCCACACAAAGAUCGACGAUGGUUUCGCCGGCUUGACAUCUUUAAUUUACUCCCUUUUCCCCAUGGAUAUUGAAUCUUUCAAUUCCUUUACUUUAUUUUAAUCUUGCUCUUGAUCUGAGUCAAAUUCGAUCCUGUAUAUAUGCAUGCUGUUUUCGGAGAUCAUUUUUGCAUUAAACACUUUACCAAGUAGCCUACUUUCCCCCCACUUUGACUGUUUUACGUCGAGAUUUCAGGUGAAAAAUUUAGACAUUUACUUGUUAAUUAAUUAGGGUUUAGAUUCUUAGCUCUAAUUUAGGAAAGACUUUUCGCUCCACCCAUUUCCCUUUAAUUGGGCCAUAAUGCAAAAUAGGCCUGCCAUGUUUUUAAUUGUGAUCAUCAUCAACAAUUAUUAUUAAUCAGGAUAGUGCAUGAAGAAUUGAAAAGCAUGGAUAUCAGUCGUGUUUUUAAGUAGAAGUGUACUGAAUUCAUUAAUUAUAUAACAUGUAUAUAUUAUAUUCUCACUAGCUAGAAUACACACACACACACCUUUGCCUUUCAACAAGAGUAAUGCCAUCUUUUAAGAAUUGAUUCUUGUACAUUAGUAACCUUUCGUGACCUUUUCUUAUGUAACACUCCUACGUUUUUUUAAUGAUAAUUUAUUAAAGAUCAUAACAUUUCAUUUCAUUAAAUUUUUAAAUAUUUUAAAAUGAAAUAUAAAAGUACAGUAUUGCUUGAGAAUUAUGCGAUGACACCUCGAUCGAUCUCCAUGAAAGUUUACAUCUUGGUAGUAAAUUAAUGUUGAAAUAUUUUAAUUAUAUCUUUGAAGUGAAGGCUUUUUUUGCACCAAAUACAUGCCUUGCAUCAUCGUAAAUUAUGUUUUAUCUCUACAAUUUAUCGUAUGUUAUCCUGUUUUCAAUAAUUCACCUUAUUUGUUUCUUAACUGGAAUUACUCCUAUUUUUUAAACUUUAUUUCCACCUUUAAUUGGAUCAUUACAUUUCUAAUUGCCCCUUAACUAUUAAUUGGAUCUGUCACAUAGAGGAUUGUAUUAUCACUUUGAUAAUUUUAUUUUUUAACUAUCAUAUUUUGAUCAAUUAUUGUGUCUUAAUUUAUGUUUGAUUUAACCGUUAUCAUUAUAAUGAAGAAAAUCCUUUUGAAAAAUUCAUUUUUUGAUAUUUCAAGAUAAAGAAGUGUUAAUAAAAAUUGAAUAUGCUAUAAGAAAAUAAAUUAAAAAAUUUUGGAGGUCAAGAAGCAUUUUAUUUUAUUUUUCUCUUGAACAAUAAAUAUUGAUAAAACUGAAAAAUAGAUAUUAAUUAAAAAUUAUCAAAGAAUCAUCUCAACCCAAUAGUUUAAGUUGAUUAUCUUAUAACACAUCCCCUCAAGUGAAAGCUCUUUGGAUUUGAAACUUGCAAAGGUUAUCAAAUAAAUAGGGUUGGUGAAAUUCAAACUCGUGACCGCUUGGUUAUCAAGACUCUGAUACCAUAUCAAAUAAUCCUCUAUACCUAAUAGUUCUGUUAGGUUAAGUCUCAAAAUAUAAUUUAUAUUAUUUUCUAACAAAAAUAAUCUAAAAUCUUAAUGAUUGCCUAGAAAAUAAUAUAAAUUUAUGUGUUUUCAAGGAUUUUAAAAAAUAUUAAAAAACAACGGUUCCUUGCUUUAACAAGCUUUGAAUUAUUUAUGAAAGUGAAUUAAAUUUAGUUUUAAAUAUCAAAAAAAUAUAUUUUUUAAGGAGUUUUUAGUUAAUAUCGACAGUCAAAUCAAAAUGAGGUACAUAUUUUCCCAAAAUAUGAUAGUUUAAAAAAGAUAUUGGCUAUUGAACCCAAAAAAAUAUUGAUUAAAUUGAUAAUAUAAUAAUGUGCAAUAAUUCAAGGAUAUUGAAAGAUGCCAUUAAACAUUAAAUUACAUAAUUCGUAUGCUACGUACCAAGCAUACUAUACUACAAAUGCAGAUUUUGAUUUUGGAUAGAAGGUGGAAUCCCAUCAUCAGUUAUGAAAUAUCUUUAUUGAUAGCUGCGGUUUUUGUUUUUGUUUUUUGAGAGAGAGAUUUCACGGCUGAAUCUUACAUAGUUUUAAUUCCCAGCUACACCACUCAAGAGAUUUAAGAUUACUAUUAAACAAAUCAUUGAUUCAGUAAGAAUAAAUAAAGAAAUGAAUAUUUCAAGAAACUUACAAGAACUCACUGUAUGUGGCCAAGGCAGCAGAGAACAUGAGUUGUUCAUCACGUUGCUUUUUGGUAAAUGGCACAUGAUCAUCCCAUUCCCCAUCAGAUUCUCUUAAGCUACAGACUGCUUGCUAGCCAGGCCUCUCUUUUUAUCCAGCCAGGUCGCCUUUGCACGACAGCACGACAAGUGUACAAGGGCGAGAUUGCAAAACUAAUAUAUCAAUUAUAAACACACAUUAACAACGAUAAAUAUUCUACACAUAAUAAACAAUAAAAACUCCCUCCCAUAAAGAACUAUAUAUUAUACAAUAAUGUGAUUAUUACACACAGUACUGUUUAUUAAAAUAAGGAGGGGGAGGAGGCCUAGUAUUGCGUGUUGUAGGCUAUGGGCGGUUUAGUUGGCCCACGCAUCCUCUCGAGGGGUCCUCUGAUUCUUGUUAGUUUGUGAGCAGACAAAAGCAGGGAAGCUGCUUAUCCUCCCUGAUGUUUUCACACAGAGCCUCACUCACAGAAUCUCCAAAAGCCGAAGGGCUUGUUGCUGUAUAAUAUCCCGAAUUCAUUUUAUUAACAUAAAUACCCCUCCGUUCACAUCAUAAUAUUCCUCUCCUAAAUUAAAUAAAAACAUUUUCCCGAUAGGUGUAUCUAGGAAGGGACAAAAAAAUCUAGUGUAUUAAGGAAGGGACAGGGGAAUUAAUUAAAGAUGUCAGGUCUGGUCUCUUGAGUGAAUGGCAGCAACGUAAUACAUAGAAAAGUCGAAGGGCUAAUUAACGUUACCGUCUCUGUCAUUACAAAACAGUGGCUAUAUAGUUCGAUGUCGUACAAGCCAGUUUAGUACUAACGUGUUAUCCUCGAUCUAGACGUUCUCGAUCAAUUGGGCCACUAUUCCCUCCCUCUCUUCGAUCAUUGUCAUCACAGCAAUGGCGCCCGUGAGCCUCCCUCCUGGAUUUAGGUUCCAUCCAACCGACGAAGAGCUUGUUGUUUACUAUCUUGAUAGAAAAAUCAACGGCCGCGCAAUUGAGCUUGAAAUUAUCCCGGAGGUUGAUCUCUAUAAAUGUGAGCCGUGGGACUUACCAGGUAUAAUUGAUUAAUUUCCAUGCUUACAUCAGUAAUAUUUAGUAUCACCUACAUAUGUUCUUAUGUAUGCUCUUAGUGUUCUUUCUGACAACCUUUUUUGUGAUAAUUCGAUCAACAGAUAAGUCGUUUUUACCAAGCAAAGAUUUGGAGUGGUAUUUCUUAAGCCCUAGGGAUAAGAAGUACCCUAAUGGUUCAAGAACCAACAGGGCAACAAAAGCUGGUUACUGGAAAGCCACAGGGAAAGAUAGACCAGUGAACUCUCAAAAGCGGCCGGUUGGCAUGAAGAAGACAUUGGUGUACUAUAGAGGUAGAGCUCCCCAUGGCAUUAGAACCAACUGGGUAAUGCAUGAGUAUCGCUUGAUCGACUCAUUGUGUGGCGCUGCACCAUCAAGUUUAAAGGUAUAUAUAUAUAUUGCACUUUCACUACUGGCUGCUUGGGGAACAAUUUUCAUUUGAUCAAGUAGGGACACAGAUUCAACCCAUUGCAUAAUUAAUGUUCAGAAAUAUCAUGUAGGUGAGUUAAUUAUGAACAUCGAGCCAUCCAUCGUGAUGAAAUUGGAUCUGCCCCAUCUGGUGGUUUUGGUGGCAUUCAUAUGUAGACCAAUAGUAAAGGGCUAUUAGGGUUUACAAAAAGACAACUAAAUGCGUUUGAUUGUCGGUUUUGAGUUGAAGAUAGUGAUGAACUUUCAAUAGGAAUUACACGCGGCCGCAAGAGUGUUCUUGGUCUCAUAGGAAACCUUAGUAACAAUGACAGAUCGAUGUAAAUUGAGAGUAUUUUUUUAGGGGUAUGUUAUGUUCAUCUUUCAGAUGCGGGUAAAAUUAAUUAAUAUUAAUAUUAAUUUCAGUGUUCCAUGUAGCUUCUUCCAGUUCAAAUUAGUAAAUGAUUUAGAAACAAUUUUGAAUGCAUUUUCAAGAGCAUAUAAUAUACAGGGAGCAGUAGCACGGUUCAAAUUAGAGCAGAUCCUGUCACAUUUAGUCAUUGCUCUUGUUUUCAUACACCACCAUAUCAUUUUAGAUCUUCCUUUUCCUGCUAAAUGUUCUCUCUUUAAUAAAGAAUACCUUAUCAUCAACAUAUAUGAUGAUGAAAGAGUCUUUGUUUCAUGACUUUAGGUGUACUUACACUAUCUUUGUUUGGUUUCUUGUUUCCCUUUCUGCUCUUUGUGAUCUUGCUUUUACAGAUCUUUGUACACCUCUCUUUAACAAAUUUAUGUUUAUUUUGGCACCACAGGAUUCCUACGCAUUAUGCCGUGUUUUCAAGAAAACAAUACAUAUUCCAAAAAAGAAAGAAGAAGAAAAUAACGGGACUGGAGAGAAGGAUGCAGCGUGGGUCUCAGAAGAACAAUUAUUAGGGGAUGACACAAGCGGUAUUCAAAGUUCUAAAGGGAGAGAAGCUGAAGAUGAAAACUUCAACAAUGACUAUUGUAAAUUUCCAUCUGAAACAUCUUCCUCGGACGUCACUCAAGGGACUCCAAUUGAAACUGCAAUAGCCGAUGAUUUACAAGCUCCGUUUCCCUCAGAUGAAGCCAACAGUUCGGCUAGCCUUUAUUCAUUGGGCGUGGAUUUCUCGUCAAAUCUAAUUCAGGUACAAUAAACAAUGUUCCUUUUACACAUUAAUUUAAAAUUUUUAUGGUUUGAUCUGCUGAUAACUAGUUAAUGUCGGUCCAAGAAUUAGUAAUUAUUUAGUUAACUGCAUGUAUAUAUAUAUAUAUAGAAUAUGUCUAAGUGCGUGACAUGCAUGGAAGGAUAAUAAAAAAAACAUUAGGUUAUUGAUGGUAGGGGCCAUACCAAGAUUCACAUGCAAUAAUCAUCUUCUUCAAGGCAUCCUUUUCUGAUCAUGAUAUGAUCAUCUCUUUUGCCAUUACCACAUUUCCAGCAAUAUUCUGCCUUGACGCGAAAGCUUCAUGUUCACACCACGGAAAAUACCACGUGGUUGUGUUUCACGCAGAGAAUGAAAGUACAAUCCUCGGGCCAGUAUGUGUUGGAAGUGGCCCACAACACAAGCCCUUUGAGUUUUUUCUCUCUUUUGAUCUCAAGUUAAAGCAACAAAAGUUGGAAGCAAUGAAACUCCCUGUCUUUUCCUAAAGCUUCCUUCUAAAAAUCUCUCAAGCACUGACUCGAAUUAGCUUUUUUUUUCACCAUCUCCAAUAACUUCUUUUGACUGACUCGAAAAUAAUUCAAAGUUCAACCAUCUUUCUUCCUGAUUUUUCUCUCUGGGUCUACUAUACGUGACACCACAACCAUCACCAUUACCAAUGCAUAUGUUCCCCCAUUUGAAUCACAUUUUGAAAUAAUCUCCAAUUCAAAACAUGUUGCUAGGUUUACUGUUUUAAUUAAUAUUCAAAAGGAGUUGCUUUUUCCAGCUCCCCGCUGAACUCUCUCUCUCUCUCGUUUUUUGGGUAUGAGACCAAUUAUCAAUCACACGACAUGUUGUGGAUGCAGGAUAUGCAGAUGCCAAACUGCUCAAGCUUGCAUUAUCAAUUUCCGUUCCCGCCUUUAGAACUUGAGGAUUUCCCACAGAUUAGUAUCACCGAGAGUAUGAAGCCAUCGAAGCCUGAAAUAAUCGACGACUACCUGAUGUACAAGGAUUGCAUGAACGGAACACUAGAAGAGAUCUUGUCUUUAUGCUCCUCUCAAGACAACUCCAAUACUGCACUCCCCAUGCAAGACUAAGAGCCACUAAUUAGGAUGACCACAAAGUAACAAAUAUUAUUUUUUGUUAAUGUUCCUUACAGAUAUUGUAUCACUACUAAAAUUCAUUUGACUGCACAAAGGUAGGAUAUAUUGUGAUGGGUUGCAUAAAAAAAAAUGGGGAUUAUUUUGCCAGCCACAUGAUCAGGUUAUACACGUACUUCAUUAUACAAGGAUGGGUCAAGGCAUGCCAUCGUUUCCUUUUCUGUUUUUAUCUUUCGUUUUUUUUCAUACAAUUGUUGAAACUUCUCGGCCAGCUUUGAAUAGAGAUUGGAAAAGGAAAUUCGUACGUGUCUCUGUUUCACUGUGGAAUUAUAAUCAACUGUUUCUGCCAAAGUAAAAGCACUAAAGAUUUCUCUGCUAUAAAGAACCGUGAUAUCAUGGUGUGAGCCCAUAAUGCUCACACAGUAACUUAGGGGACUCUAUAAUUUUAUACUGGUGAGAACUGAUGAUCGAGUUGCUUGUUCAGCCAAAAUAAAAAUUAAUAGUCCCAAUGCCGAGCGGAAAACUUAAGUGCUUGGAUAUGUAACGACAAAAUAGAAAAGAAAAGAAAAAAGCUUUGGGUAAAAUGUCGAGAGGGGAAAAAUAUUGGACGUGGGAGUUUGGAGAUCAGUACUCUUAUCGUUAUCAUGUAUUUUCUUUGAAACCUACGGAUGAAUGUACAUCCACUAGAAUGGGAGCAGCUGCUUCGGCUACAAGUUCAUGAAGUUUCCAUACUUUUUUAAUAUAUUUUUAAUCGGUUUGAGAAGAAGAAUAUAGUUUUAAUGCAUAGAAAUACCACAUGAAAGCAGCAAGAAAAGUAAGAUUGUUUGCAAAAUAUUGAGUUCUCCAAUACUACCAGCACACUCAAGCACGCAGCCAUGAAUUUUUCCUACCCUAACUAUUAAAUAAAUAAAUAAAUAAUUUUUAAAAUCAAUUAUUAACUAAUGUACAUGAUUUUUUAAAGUUAAAAAUAAAAUUUUAAUUCAAAUAUUUUGUCCAAAAUAUUAAAAAAUAAAUUUAAAAAUACAUAAAAUAAAAGUAAAAAUAAACCUAUUAUUAAAUUUAUAUUUUUUGAUAUUUUAUAAAAUAUAAUUUAUUUAUAAUUGAAUCUAAAUCAAUAUCAUAAUAACUUUUCAAUCGAAAUAAAAUAAUAAUCUUAUAAUAUGAUACAUAGGCACACUGAGGUGGCGGUACAUAAGCCAUGGAAUCAAGGGCAUUUCAGGCUUUGUAUUUUCGAAAUAUUUGAUAUAACUGUCUGUUGAAAAAAUCGUGACAGAGAAAUUCAGAACAAAUUAUUCGAGUGCUGUCAGUGUUUUUUUUCCCUCUUAGAAAUGUAAUUUCGAAAAUCCAAGCGGUAUUUCAAGAAAAUGAACAUAAAUAAAGGAAGAACCGAAAGAAUGGUCAUCGCCCAGGUCAGUGGAGCAAGAUUUGUGUGGAUGGGGACGGAGGCUGCAGGUAGAGUCCCAUGGGCCAUGGCCAUGCGGACUGCUUCCGCCUUCCAGCCUCUGGGAACUGUAUGGGCUGGGUCUAGUAAACUAAUAAAUGGGCUUUUCGAUCAGGGCCCAGUUGGUAACUUUGGUACCACAAUCAUCACGGGUUAGGUAUUUAGAAUCGACCGAUCAGGCAGUGGCCAGGGAGCGAGUUGAAGGCCCAAUUAAUUAGCCGUCUAGCAAAUGGACUUUAAAUUAUUUAUAUAUAAGGGUGUUAAUGUAAAUCAAAGAAGGGAAGGGGGGUAAAUAUGCACCUAAUGAUUAUGCUGACAUUGUAUGGGAAAAGUUUGAUGUUGUCUGUCUAGGAGAUUCAACUGCAUGAUUAGAUGACUUCUUUGUUUUAGCGAGCCAAAACCACAUACAUCACGCUUUUAUUAGCAACGAAGAAAAGCAUUAUGUUACGUCCACAAAAUAAAUUUAAGAAUAAUAUUGCUCAUCAUAUCCCUUUUCUUGAAAUUUAAUUUAGGGUAAAUUGAAAUUCAACUUCUCGAGGUUUGGGCGUUUUCUCAACAUCAAUUUUAGCUUUUGAUUUGUUUGAAUUAAACUCUUCAUCUCUUAUUUUUAUUCCACUUUUUGUAAAUUUCAAAUUUAUCAUUAAAAUUUAUGGAAUGUCAUAGUAUAAUUCAAAAUAUAAAAAUGAAUAAAUUGGAGUUUUAAAAAAUAAUUAAAGAAAGACAUUUUUUCAAUUAAAAAAAUAUGAUAAAAAGUUUUCAUUAACACGGUCCUUUGACAAUACAACAUUUAACUUAACUUAAAGUUAAUAUAAUUAAAAAUACUUUUUAAUGUAAAGUAUCAACCAUCACUAUCACCGUCUCUUAUACACUCUCAAAUUAUAUUUAUACUUUUUUAUCUAGUUCUCUAUUAAAAUCUUGACUAAGAAUUCUAAAAAAGAAUUGAAAUCCCAUACUUUUUUCUGACUCCAAUUUGUUUAUAUUUUCUUUACUUUUUCAAUGAUUAUAUUUCAUAAAUUUCAGGAAUGAAAUUAAAAUUUACACUCAUUACAGAAAUAGACGAAAGAAGAAAACUAGAAAAAAAUUGAAAGAUACAGGAUGAAUUGAAAAUACAAAAACAAAACUGAUGGAUGAACUCUAUAGGAUUAGGCUUAAUCAAAAUUUUCUCAUAGCGUCAAAACUCACGGGAUGGUGGAGAACAUGCGUUUGGGGAAAAUUAAUCCAGGCGAUGGCUAUCUAUGAUCACUCAACAUCCAACAGCACCUUCCCAAUUUAGAUGAAUAAUAUGGAAUUGAUUGGUAUCACAAAUAACUUCACACCCGACAUGUUAGCAAGAAAUGGAAGCGUUUUUUCCUUUCAAAUAUUUGGGAUGCACAACCAGAGCAAAACCUACUAUCAAUUACUGUAGCGCUAGUUACAUACACGCAUAUGGAGGCCUAAAAGUUCCAUGAAAGAUCAUCCAUGGAGCUAAGAUCACGACACAUUGAACCAGGAAAUAAUUUGGAGUCGACCAACUCAAGAUCAUAGCUAGAGGUGUCAAAUGAAGCAUCCAUAUUAUCGUGAACUCCUUUAUUCUUAUCAACGAUUUGUGUGUCACAAAUCUUGUUCAGCUGGUUUUCUUGAUCCUGUGAUCGCAUGCCUUCGAAUAAUCUUGCUGCUUCAAAGGGCUCAACAAUGUUACUACAACUCCAAAAGCAAUCUUCUUCUAGGAGACCAAACCCAGUUGGGUUCACCGAAGUCGGAGAUGAAGGGGAAACGAGUGAGUUCUCAAUGGAUGACAAGCAAAGAAAAAGGGAAGAAUCAUAAGAAUUUUGAGUAUUUACAUUCCAAAUGACACUAGGGUUGUUAUCAUAACAAGAGGAGGGCAAGGGUAAGCUGGUUGUUGUUUGAAGCAUCGAAGGUUGAGCGCUGCUAUUAGAGGGAUAAGGGGAAGCUAGUGUUAGAAUAGGAGGGUUUAUCUCCAUGGAACCAUCUUUCAUCUUUGAAUCCUGGGAGAUAAUUGAAAAGGCCUGUUGGUUAGACGGUGAUAUAUUGCAUGCAACCUUGUUAGCUGCCCUCUGAUGAGAAGGAAUCAAGUUGUGAGUUUUUGGGUCCAAGCCUUGGGCCAUGAGCUUUUUCUUUAUGCGUGAGUUCCAGAAAUUCUUCACCUCAUUAUCUGUCCUUCCUGGGAGAUGUUUUGAUAUCUGAGACCAUCUGUUACAAGUAUAGAGUUCUUGUAAUCAAAAUGCAGUGAAAGAAUAUAUAGGCUAAGUAAUUCUUCUACUCUAUUCAUGCCAUCUAGUGAUCUAGUACUGUCCCCAUUGUUAGAAACAGUGUUUUAUUUAUUUAUUUUAAUUUCGACCUUUUUAUACACUUCCUUAUUUAGACUCAAAUAAUCCUUACCUGUUGCCCAAAAUUCUAUGAGCGUCUAUGAUGACCUGCUCUUCUACCGCAGAAAAGCAACCCCUCUUGAGUUCUGGUCUCAAGUAGUUCAGCCAUCUCAACCGGCAACUCUUACCACACCUUUUUAAACCUGCAAGUACAAAUCAAGUGUGCGUCAAAAGUAGAUCAGAUACCUUGAUUUUGAUUUCUAAUGCAUGCAACAAAAAAAGGGUAUUAACACAUUUACACCUGCAAAUUUAGGGACAGAGCUCCAGCUUCCAUGACCAUGAGUGGCGAUAUAUUUGACAAGCUUCUCAUCUUCUUCAGGAGACCACAGCCCUCUUUUAACUUUCUGUUUGCUGCAGCACCUAUGGCCCAUCUCUAUUCUCCAGUCCCUUCUUCAGCUGAUUCAACUAGCUACACCUGCAUCCUUCAAUUAGCUAGCUAGCUCAACGUAAAAUGUUGAGGAAUUAGUCUCAUCACUCCUCUCACCUGAAAGAUCUCAAUUUAUAUCCGAUAUGUUUGACUCCUACUAGUAUGAGCCAGCACACUGGGUUUUUUGAGUUUGGCACGACAUGUCCUUAAUUACUCCUUACAUCUACCCGACCCAGAGGACUUAAGGUGGAGGGGAAGAAAAUAUGGUGACUGGAGAGUGCAUGAAUUUCCGAGCAAUACAGGCCAGGUGGCAAAACACUGUGUAUGGAGGGCAGUCCAAUUAAAUGUCCUUAGUUAAUGCAUUUUGUUGUGUUAACUUUCUGGGAGAUUGAUCAAGCGGUCCAUUUCCUAGUAUUAAGACUUUGUUGGGUCAGAUGAGUUAAUUUGGUGCCUCAAUAACUCGAGAUUUGGUUAGUUGAUUUUUUUUAUAUUAAAAUUUUUUUUUUUUUUAAUUAAUUAGAAGAGUGAUCAAGAGGCAAAGCAGCAGAAGGCGUCCUUGAUUGUUCAGUUUACGUUUCUAAUGACGUGGAUUCUCGCUGCCUAAUUUAUUCAUCAUCAUGUCUAAUUGCAUCUAAAUAUACAAAGAAGAAUUCAGCAAAAACCCUAAAAGCAAACAAAUCGGAAAUGUGCUGGAAUUUAAACUUAAGGUGCACUCAUGAGCACAAGGUCUAAUUGAGUGCGUUGGUGUCAAUUGCUCUUCCAUCAUUUCGUUACAGUUCAUUGAGCCCAAAAAUGAAGAAAACAUGUUUUUUGA